rnacentral:lncRNA from 1 species
CCGAGCGAGUUCUUGCGUCGCCAAGGUAAAGUUCUUUGAAUCCCAAGCCCUCUUCCCCCCUCCCUUGUUCGUCUCCUUGUUCACUCGGCAGGCAGCGAGGUCUCCAGGACGUUUUAGAUCCAGGGGCUCCAGAUCUGUUCGUUUUUCUUCUCUUUUAGUUGUAGUAAUCGGCCAGGCGAGGUUCUUUUUCCACACCUCCUUGCUCGUUGUGUCUAGAUCUACCACAAACGCCAUCUCUUUUUGCCGUGGCUGUUGUUGAUUUUCUCUGCNNNNNNNNNNNNNNNNNNNNNNNNNNNNNNNNNNNNNNNNNNNNNNNNNNNNNNNNNNNNNNNNNNNNNNNNNNNNNNNNNNNNNNNNNNNNNNNNNNNNNNNNNNNNNNNNNNNNNNNNNNNNNNNNNNNNNNNNNNNNNNNNNNNNNNNNNNNNNNNNNNNNNNNNNNNNNNNNNNNNNNNNNNNNNNNNNNNNNNNNNNNNNNNNNNNNNNNNNNNNNNNNNNNNNNNNNNNNNNNNNNNNNNNNNNNNNNNNNNNNNNNNNNNNNNNNNNNNNNNNNNNNNNNNNNNNNNNNNNNNNCUCCUUCCCCCACGCUGCUUACAGUGGGUACCCGUACGGGGUGCAGGCACAGGCCCAGACCGAGCUCAGCUCGGCCCAGAUGCACUACAUCCAGGCACGCCUCCACCUCCAGCGCCAGACCGGCCAGCCGGGCCACCUCGGCCCGCGGCCCCAGCCCAUGAAGCCUGCUUCGGUGGCAGCGGCGACCCCGCCGCGGCCGCAGAAGCUCUACCGUGGCGUGCGGCAGCGCCACUGGGGCAAGUGGGUGGCGGAGAUCCGCCUCCCCCGCAACCGCACCCGCCUCUGGCUCGGCACCUUCGACACCGCCGAGGAGGCGGCCCUCGCCUACGACCAGGCAGCCUACCGCCUCCGCGGCGACGCAGCGCGCCUCAACUUCCCCGACAACGCUGCCUCCCGCGGCCCGCUCCAUGCCUCCGUUGACGCCAAGCUCCAGACCCUCUGCCAGAACAUCACCGCCUCCAAGAACGCCAAGAAGUCCGCCUCCGUCUCCGCGUCCACCGCCGCAGCCACGUCGUCCACCCCCACCAGCAACUGCUCCUCGCCGUCCUCCGACGAGGCGUCGUCCUCGCUGGAGUCCGCGGAGUCGUCACCGUCACCCGCCGCCACCACCGCAGCAGAGGUUCCAGAGAUGCAGCAGCUCGACUUCAGCGAGGCGCCAUGGGAUGAGGCAGCCUGCUUCGCCCUCACCAAGUACCCGUCGUACGAGAUCGACUGGGACUCGCUUCUCGCCGCCAAUUAGCACCCAGUUUGUGUUCGUCAGCUACUACUACUGUCUUUAGCGUGUCAUGAUGUUAGGUUAAUGGGUCGCCGCGAUGCAGAUGGCAUUUUAGACAUUCUGCACGGGCUUUUAGCGGAUUAGCUCUAAGUCUCUAAUCCUUGUUCAUUGUGUAGAUCUAUUAUUUGUUCUCUUGUGGUAGGGUUUGGUUAGUCCGUCCCGGAUGACUAUAAGCCGGCGUUUUUGUGCCCGGCGUCUCCGGUGGUCGGUCACUGGUCAGUGACUCCGGCCGGUGAAGUCUUGUGUCCAUGGUUCUAGCUAGGUGCUGUUCCUUCCGCUGCUCUGCAGAUUGUAACAGUGGGAGUCUUGUUAUGUAAAAUUAGCUCGUCAAAAAUCAUGUAAUGUGGAAUAUUAUUUUGUUGUUAAUGGUUGUUUUGUCUUGUAAAUUCAUGAAAAUCAUACGUUUUUUGUCUUGUGAAAUUCUUGAAAUGUCAGUCUGCGAAAUGGAACUAGUGGUAGUGAACGUGACUGUAAUUCUUUAGUACUACAUGCGCAGAUACUGUGUUUCAGACUUGCAAUCGAUAGUUUAUAGUUUUAGCUCGGGAAAUUCAUGUUUGGCUUGGACGCCUGGCGACCAAACUUGUAUCCGUGUUCACGUCUUUUGUGCUCGAUCACGGUUGCUUGAGGAACCAUCUCACUUCAUUUUCAGUCAGGGUAGAAGAAGCAAAAAGGAAAAAGGGGAACACAUCCACAUCGUGGGCUAUUAUUCCGAUACGUAUUUCCUAACAAUGGAGUAGGUCGAACGGAUCGCGCUGGGCUGGACGUUAGCUGGCAGGAAGCUUCUCGAGGCGAUAUUUUUAGUAGUAUUUGUAGGCAAAUUUCACGCUCCUCGAAGCAGACGGGUCCGACGACGACGUGAUCCCCUUUGUCACCUACCGGAGCGCCGUUGCAUUGCUGCCAUGCUGAACUGAUGAUGCGUCCGUCCCCAUCGUUUUCGUGGCGAUCGCGCGCGCGUUCCAGAAAUGCCCACGGAUGCCCCCGCCGUGCUUAAAUUUGACCCAGUUUACCUGGAUGUGAACAAAAUACUAGAAAGAUUUAUAUAUUGGGAAAAUGGUCGCCGUUUUCUCUCAGUGCAUCAGCACGUAGUACAAGCAACAGCUGAUCGUGAGUGUUUCGGAAAACGGCGUUCGGAGAAAACUAGCAGCAGAAGAGUAGGGGGGUUGAAAGUUGAAGCGAGGGCGCCAAAGUAAAUACUAUUUCCCGCCAGAAAUUGACGGCGAGUCCGCGUAGGCUCCGCGUCCGCGCGGAACGCACAGCCGAUGUGACAUGACGAGGGCGGGCCCACCCACCCACACCUCCGUCGGGGGGAAGAAAAGAAUCGUCUGGGAAUCGUGGGGCCAGCGGCACUGCCCAGUCUCGUCCGCGCUGUGCACGCCUGCCUGCCUGCCUGCCUCAUCUCCGGUCAAAAGGGGAAACAGGAAGCCCCGGAACGGAACAGCCAGCGUAGAGUAGCAGUGGACGGAUCACUACCACCACCACCACCAGCGUGUGGAGUGGAUGGGUAUCUGGCGUUGCGUUGCUUUGCUUUGGCAUAUGGUAACUGGCACUCGAAUGCACAGGGCACACGCUCCUAUCCAUUCGUGUUGCAUUCCAUCUUCGGUUCGUUGUAAAUGCAAAAGGAAGGCACACCAACCCACUGGACAAAAGCGGGCGUGCUGCCGUACGUUGGCGCCUCUGCCUGUCGGUGGGCCCUCCCUAUCACGGGCGGUUUCUCCUGGCCUCCCUCGCUGCUCACACAUUCGCUCCUCUCUUUUCCCUUUUUCAUUGCACUCCUUACCCGUCAUCUCCUUACCCGUACUGGUGGUUAUUAUCUCUUUUUUUAGUGGUUGGGUUAGCCAUAACAGCAGCCUAUCACUCCGUGGCCACGAGUUAACACAGGAGAAAAGAUAACAGAUAUCCUAGUUUUUCAUAUGGUAGUACAGUACGUACAACUUACUGAAAACACGUGAACGAGUCUGAACGGCGAGGCCGCCCGGGUGCCGCCCCACUGCACUUGCUAGCGUGUGCACUGCGCUACCAGCUCCAGUUUACGCGUGUGGCCAACCAACGAGAGACCGCAUCUGAUAUCUUGAAAAUACAUGCCUCACAUGGAGGGAAAAUGUUGCACCACUACUAACCGACACUUGUACUCCCUCCAUUCCCAAAUAUAAGUCUUUCUAAAGAUUCCAACAAGUGACUACAUACGGAGCAAAAUGAGUGAAUCUACACUCUAAAAUAUGUCUAAAUACAUCCGUAUGUUGUUGUCCAUUUAAAAUGUCUAAAAGACUUAUAUUUAGAAAUGAAGGGAGUAGUAUAGUAAGAAUUCCAGGUAAAAAAGGAAUGGUGCAGAAUUUUUAUCUGGAUUCUUCAGCUACAGAAUUAUUGUUGGGGUUCUUCAGGAGGGUAUCCCGAAGUACUUUUGCCCUCGUCCUAAUUUAUUAGUCCUUCUUGUCCCUUGCACAACACUCUUGCCCCUCCCCCCCUCCCGCGUCGCCCCUGCUCGAGCGACUCAAGCGGGGCAAAACCCUAGCCGUCGGGGUCUCUUCUUCCUUCCCUCCCCCUCCCUCCGCCGCCUCCGAAGGACGCCGGCGACCUAUAACCUGGAGCCGACGACGAUGGCGGGGGCCUCCCUCUCUCCUGCGUUGUGGGGAUGGUUGUCGGUGUCAAAACCGGCGGAUCUCGGGUAGGCGGUCCCGAACUGUGCGUCUAAGGUCGAUGGUAACAGGAGACAGGGGACACAAUGUUUUACCCAGGUUUGGGCCCUCUCUAUGGAGGUAAUACCCUACGUCUUGCUUGAUUGAUCUUGAUGAAUAUCAGUAUUAUAAGUGUUGAUCUAUCACGAGAUCGUAAUGGCUAAACCCUACAAGUCUAGCCUGUAUGACUAUGAUAAUGUAUCUCUCCCUUCGGACUAAGUCCUUCGGUUUAUAUAGACACCGGGAGGAUCUAGGGUUACACAAGGCCGGUUACAAAGAAAGGAAUCUACAUGUUCGGUCGCCAAGCUUGCCCUCCACGCCAAGGAGAGUCCCAUCCGGACACGGGUACAGUCUUCGGUCUUCGUAUCUUCACAGCCCAUCAAUCCGGCCCAUGGCUAACAGGCCGGACGCCCGAGGACCCCUUAGUUCAGGACUCCCUCAGUAGCCCCUGAACCUGGCGUCAAUGACAAGGUAUCCGGCGCGUAGAUCUGUCUUCGGCAUUGCAAGGCGGGUUCCUCCUUCCGAACUCCAAGAUAGUCUUCGGACGUAUUGAUCAUGUCCGGACCUGUAACACACACACCACACACAAACGUAGAGAGAAUAUAAUAAUCCACGAGUCCAAUCCGCUGACAACUUUUUGCAACACGACAUCUCGUCUGACCGGUCACAAUUUCGAACCGUUUUUCGUCUGCCGCUCCAUGUUUCGAGACGCGGUCGCCAUUGGCGCGUCUUGUCGAAGCAUAGAUCGUGUCCCCUUAUUGCGGGAUUCUGAUCAAUACGGGCGUGGGUAACCCAACCGUGCCGUUUACACAACCCUUGGGACUAGGCGAAUUUUAAGGCGAGUGGGGAGGCGUUCAAUAUUCACUGCCUUUAAAAGGAGAUAAGAAUCCCCUUUCUUCUUCCCACGCCUUCUCUCUUCCUCUUCCUUUCCACUCUUGAGCUCCAGCGCCCAAGUUCCCAUCUGUUUCACAUUCGGGCAAGCACUCAACCAUGUCCGGAUCCGGUGGUGAAGGCAAGUGGAUGUCCUCCUUCGUCAAGGAGGAGGAUAUUACCGAGCUUUGGGUGGCUGGGUACUUGGCGAAGGAAAUCGCCCACCGUCUUCCAGCCCAGGGACAAAUCAUUCCCACGCCGAAGCCCAACGAGAGGGUAGUAUUCGUCCCCCAUUUCCUCCGCGGGCUAGGGUUUCCACUCCACCCCUUCGUCCGCGGGCUAAUGUUCUACUACGGGAUAGACUUCCACGACCUAUGCCCGAACUCCUUCCUCAAUAUCUCGGCGUUCAUCGUCGUGUGCGAGGCCUUCCUACGCAUCCAACCCCACUUCGGGUUGUGGCUCAAAAUCUUCCAUGUGAAGCCGAAGGUGGUGGAUGGCCAGCAUGCAGAGUGCGAAGGCGCCAUCGUGAGGAAGCUCACCAAUGUCUCUUGGCUAAAAGGCACAUUCGUGGAGUCUGUCAAGGAAUGGCAGAAACAAUGGUUCUACAUCACCGAACCCCGCGAUGCCACCUGGGUCGUGGCUGCCGAAUUCAACUUCGGUGCUCCCGUGCGACUCACCUCCUGGGUCGAGAAGAACCUGAACUGGUGUUCGUCAGACGAGCUGAUUGCGCUGCAAAGACGCAUUCAAAGCAUGAUGGAUAAAGACAUCAAGCUCGUCGACGUAAUCCAAGUGAUGAUGGUGCAUGAUACGUCUCCAACGUAUCUAUAAUUUUUUAUUGCUCCAUGCUAUAUUAUCUACUGUUUUGAAUGUUUAUGGGCUUUAUUAUACACUUUUAUAUCAUUUUUGGGACUAAGCUAUCAACCCAGAGCCCAGUGCCAGUUUCUGUUUUUACCCUGUUUUAGGGUUUUGAAGAAAAGGAAAAUCAAACGGAGUCCAAUUGACCUGAAACUUCACGGAACUCAUUUUUGGAAGGAAAGAAGCGCAGAAGACUUGGAGUGCACGUCGGGGGAUCUGCGAGGAGGUCACGAGGCAGGGGGGCGUGCCCACCCCCUGGGCGCGCCCUCCACCCUCGUGAGCCGCUCGUGGCCCCCCUGACGUACUUCUUCCGCCUGUAUAUCUCCAUAUACCCUAAAAACAUCCGAGAGCACAAUAGAUCGGGAGUUCCGCCGCCAGAAGCCUCCGUAGCCAUCGAAAACCAAUCUAGACCCGUUUCGGCACCCUGCCGGAGGGGGCAAUCCUUCUCCGGUGGCCAUCUUCAUCAUCCCGGUGCUCUCCAUGAUGAGGAGGGAGUAGUUCUCCCUCGGGGCUGAGGGUAUGUACCAGUAGCUAUGUGUUUGAUCUCUCUCUCGUGUUCUUGAGGUGAUACGAUCUUGAUGUAUCGCGAGCUUUGCUAUUAUAUUUGGAUCCUAUGAUGUUUCUUCCCCCCUCUACUCUCUUGUAAUGAAUUGAGUUUCCCCUUUGAAGUUAUCUUAUCGGAUUGAGUCUUUAAAGAUUUGAGAACACUUGAUGUAUGUCUUGCCGUGGAUAUCUGUGGUGACAAUGGCAUAUCACGUGAUUCACUUGAUGUAUGUUUUGGUGAUCAACUUGCGGGUUCCUCCCAUGAACCUAUGCAUAGGGUUUGGCACACGUUUUCGUCGUGAUUCUCCGGCAGAACUUUGGGGCACUCUUUGGGGUCCUUUGUGUUGGUUGAAUAGAUGAAUCUGAGAUUGUGUGAUGCAUAUCGUAUAAUCAUACCCAUGGAUACUUGAGGUGACAUUGGAGUAUCUAGGUGAGAUUAGAGUUUUGAUUGAUUUAUGUCUUAAGGUGUUAUUCUAGUACGAACUCUAGGGCUGUUUGUGACACUGAUACGUCUCCAACGUAUCUAUAAUUUUUGAUUGCUCCAUGCUAUAUUAUCUACUGUUUUGGGCAAUAUUGGGCUUUAUUUUCCACUUUUAUAUUAUUUUUGGGACUAACCUAUUAACCGGAGGCCCAACCCAGAUUUGCUGUUUUAUGCCUAUUUUAGUGUUUCGAAGAAAAGGAAUAUCAAACGGAGUCGAAACGGAACGAAAUCAACUGGAGAAGUUAUUUUUGGAAGGAAACCUACCGGAUAGACUUGGACCCUACGUCAGAAGAUGAAGGAGGAGCUCACGAGAGUAGGGGGCGUGCCCACCCCCCUGGGGCGCGCCCCCUGCCUCAUGCCCCCCCUUCGGUCCACCGACGUACUCCUUUCACCCAUAUAUACCCACGUAUCCUAAAACUUCCAGAACAGAGAUUAGAUCGGGAGUUCCGCCGCCAGAAGCCUCCGUAGCCACCGAAAACCUAUCUAGACCCGUUCCGGCACCCUGCCGGAGGGGGAAAUCCCUCUCCGGUGGCCAUCUUCAUCAUCCCGGUGCUCUCCAUGAGGAGGAGGGAGUAGUUCUCCCUCGGGGCUGAGGGUACGUACCAGUAGCUAUGUGUUUGAUCUCUCUCUCUCUCUCGUGUUCUUGAGAUGAUACGAUCUUGAUGUAUCGUGAGCUUUGCUAUUAUAUUUGGAUCCUAUGAUGUUUCUUUCCCCCCCUCUACUCUCUUGUAAUUAAUUGAGUUUCCCCUUUGAAGUAAUCUUAUUGGAUUGAGUCUUUAAAGAUUUGAGAACACUUGAUGUAUGUCUUGCCGUGGAUAUCUGUGGUGACAAUGGGAUAUCACGUGACUCACUUGAUGUAUGUUUUGGUGAUCAACUUGCGGGUUCCGCCCAUGAACCUAUGCAUAGGGAUUGGCACACGUUUUCCUCGUGAUUCUCUGGUAGAACUUUGGGGCACUCUUUGAGGUCCUAUGUGUUGGUUGAAUAGAUGAAUCUGAGAUUGUGUGAUGCAUAGCGUAUAAUCAUACCCACGGAUACUUGAGGUGACAUUGGAAUAUCUAGGUGACAUUAGGGUUUUGGUUGAUUUGUAUCUUAAGGUGUUAUUCUAGUACGAACUCUAGGGCUGUUUGUGACACUUAUAGGAAUAGCCCAACGGAUUGAUUGGAAAGAAUAACUUUGAGGUGGUUUUGUACCCUACCAUAAUCUCUUCGUUCGUUCUCCGCUAUUAGUGAAUUUGGAGUGACUCUUUGUUGCAUGUUGAGGGAUAGUUUUAUGAUCCAAUUAUGUUAGUAUUGUUGAGGGAACUUACACUAGCGAAAGUAUGAACUCUAGGCCUUGUUUACUAUCAUUGCAAUGCCGUUUACGCUCACUUUUAUCAUUAGUUACCUUGCUGUUUUUAUAAUUUCAGAUUACAAAUACCUUUGUCUACUAUCCAUAUACCACUUGUAUCACCAUCUCUUCGCCGAACUAGUGCACAUAUACAAUUUACCAUUGUAUUGGGUGUGUUGGGGACAGAAGAGACUCUUUGUUAUUUGGUUGCAGGGUUGCUUGAGAGAGACCAUCUUCAUCCUACGACUCCUACGGAUUAAUAAACCUUAGGUCAUCCACUUGAGGGAAAUUUGCUGCUGUCCUACAAACCUCUGCACUUGGAGGCCCAACAACGUAUACAAGAAGAAGGUUGUGUAGUAGACAUCAAGCUCUUUUCUGGCGCCGUUGCCGGGGAGGUGAGUGCUUGAAGGUAUAUCUUUAGAUCUUGCAAUCGAGUCUUUUAGUUUCUUGUUUUAUCACUAGUUUAGUUUAUAAAAGAAAAUUACAAAAAAAAUGGAAUUAAGUUUGUCUCAUACGCUUCACUUUUUUAAUAUCUUUCGUGAGUAUGAUGGAAAAGAUAAUUGUGCUCAAGUGCUAGAAGAAGAAAUAUAUAAAAUGUUUGGCACUAAAUAUUUGAAUGAUGAGCAUGAUUGCAAUGUUGUUAGUAUGAAUUCCUUGAAUAUCCAUGAUGCUAAGGAUAUGCAAAGCCACAAGUUUGGGGAAGCUAUGCUUGAUGAAGAUGAUAUUUUUUGUCCCCCAAGUUUUGAUGAGCAAAUUUAUUGUGAUGAAAGCAUGCCUCCUAUCUAUGAUGAUUAUUGUGAUGACACUUAUGCUUUAAAGAAUAAUGAUAACCAUGAAACUUGUCAUCUUGAUCUUAAUUUUCAAUCACAUGAUAGUUAUUUUGUCGAGUUUGCUCCCACUAUUAUUCAUGAGAGGAAGUUUGCUUAUGUGGAGAGUAAUAAAAAUUCUAUGCUUGUAGAUCAUGAAAAGAAUUCUUUAUGUGAAGGUUAUAUUGUUGAAUUCAUUCAUGACGCUACUGAAAAUUAUUAUGAGGGAGUAAUAUAUGCUUGUAGGAAUUGCAAUAAUAUCAAGUUUCCUCUCUAUGUGCUUAAAGUUUUGAAGUUAUGCUUGUUUUGCCCUCCUAUGCUAGUUGAUUAUUGUUCCCACAAGUUGUUUGCUCACAAAAUCCCUAUGCAUAGGAAGUAGGUUAGGCUUAAAUGUGCUAGUCAUAUUCUUCAUGAUGCUCUCUUUAUGUUACAAUUCUUAUCCUUUAUGUGAGCAUCAUUGAAAUCAUCAUGCCUAGCUAGGGGCGUUAAACGAUAGUGCUUGUUGGGAGGCAACCCAACUUCAAUUUUGUUCCUUGAUUUUUGUUCCUGUUUAGUAAUAAAUAAUUCAUCUAGCCUCUGUUUAUAUGUGGUUUUAUGCUUUUAAUUAGUGUUUGUGCCAAGUAGAACCUUUGGGAAGACUUGGGGAAAGUCUUGUUGAUCAUGCUGUAAAAAACAGAAACUUUAGCGCUCACGAGAAGUGAUGCCAUUUUUAUUUGGAGAGUGAUAUUUAGUUAAUUAUUUUUUCAGAUGAUUAAUAGAUAAAUUCCUCAGGUCCAGAUAUUUAUUUUAGAAUUUUAUGGGUUCCAUAAGUAUACGUUUGAUCCAGAUUACUACAGACUGUUCUGUUUUUGACAGAUUCUGUUUUUUGUGUGUUGUUUGCUUAUUUUGAUGAAUCUAUGGCUAGUAAAAUACUUUAUAAACCAUGGAGAAGUUGGAAUACAGUAGGUUUAACUCCAAUUUAAAUAAAGAAUGAGUUCAUUACAGUACCUUGAAGUAGUCUUUUGUUUUCUUAUACUAACGGAGCUUACGAGUUUUCUGUUAAGUUUUGUGUUGUGAAGUUUUCAAGUUUUGGGUAAGGAUCCGAUGGACUAUGGAAUAAGGAGUGGCAAGAGCCUAAUCUUGGGGAUGCCCAUGGAACUCCAUGGUAAUAUUCAAGGAUAACCAAGAGCCUAAGCCUGGGGAUACCCCGGAAGGCAUCCCCUCUUUCGUCUUCGUUCAUCGGUAACUUUACUUGGAGCUAUAUUUUUAUUCGCCACAUGAUAUGUGUUUUGCUUGGAGCAUCAAUUUAUUUUGUUAGGAUUUGCUUUCUUUUAUUUAGAACAAUGUUUUGAAUCUUUUAUUUCAAUAAAAGUGGCAUUGAUAGCCUUUACUAUGCCUAUGUUACAAGUAUACAUGUUGCUGUUUGAAAACAGAAAGUUUACCGCUGUUGCAAUAAUUCCCUAGAAAAGUCAGAAUAUGAUAAAAUGUUGAAACCUUUUGAAUAUUAAGCUCUGAUAAAUUUACUACAGUGGGAAUUUUCAUUCAUAAUUUUUGGAGCUAGGGAAGUAUGGAUGUUGCAGCAUUCUUUACAGACUAUCCUGUUUAGGUAGAUUGCUGUUAUGUUUGCAUUGUUUGCAUAUGUUUGCUUCUUUAAUGAUUCUAUUUAAGGAUAGGACUAUUAAAUAUGCAGAGGCAUUUAGUAUGCAAUGUUGAAUAAUAAUUUUAGUUAUUUUAUAUAGUAGAGUAUGAUAAGGUUUUCGCAAUGGUUUAUACUAACUUAUCUCACGAGUCCUUGUUGAGUUUUGUGUGGAUGAAGCUUUUGAGAUUUAGGGAGACCAUGAUAUGAGAGGAAUUAAGGAGACACAAAAGCUCAAGCUUGGGGAUGCCCAAGGCAUCCCAAGAUAAUAUUUCAAGAAGUCUCAAGCGUCUAAGCUUGGGGAUGCCCCGGUUGGCAUCCCACCUUUCUUCUUCAACAACUAUCGGUUAGUAUCGGUUGAUCCUAAGUUUUUGCUUCUUCACAUGAUGUUUGCUAUUAUUAGAUGUCAUUUUAUUUUGCUUUGCUUGCUGUUUGAAUAAAAUACCAAGAUCUUAAAUUAUUAAAUGUUAGAGAGUCUUCACAUAGUUGCAUAAUUAUUCGACUACUCAUUGAUCUUCACUUAUAUCUUUCGGAGUAGUUUGUCAUUUGCUCUAGUGCUUCACUUAUAUCCUUUUAGAGCACGGUGGUGGUUUUAUUUUAUAGAAAUAGAUGAACUCUAAUGCUUCACUUAGAUUAUUUUGAGAGUCUUAAAUAGCAUGGUAAUUUGCUUAAAAUCCUAAUAUGCUAGGUAUUCAAGAAUAAUAAAAUUCUCUUAUGAGUGUGUUGAAUACUAUGAGAAGUUUGAUACUUGAUAAUUGUUUUGAGAUAUGGAGAUGGUGAUAUUAGAGUCAUGCUAGUUGAGUAGUUGUGAAUUUGAGAAAUACUUGUGUUGAAGUUUGUGAUUCCUGUAGCAUGCACGUAUGGUGAACCGUUAUGUGAUGAAGUCGGAUCAUGAUUUAUUUAUUGAUGGCCUUCCUUAUGAGUGGCGGUCGGGGACAAGCGAUGGUUUUUUUAUACCAAUCUAUCCCCCUAGGAGCAUGCGUGUAGUACUUUGUUUCGAUAACUAAUAGAUUUUUGCAAUAAGUAUGUGAGUUCUUUAUGACUAAUGUUGAGUCCAUGGAUCAUACGCACUCUCAUCCUUCCACCAUUGCUAGCCUCUCUAGUACCACGCAACUUUCACUGAUACCAUACACCCACCAUAUACCUUCCUCAAAACAGCCACCAUACCUACCUAUUAUGGCAUUUCCAUAGCCAUUCCGAGAUAUAUUGCCAUGCAACUUUCCACUGUUCCAUUUAUUAUGACACGCUUUGUCAUAUUGCUUUGCAUGAUCAUGUAGUUGACAUCGUAUUUGUGGCAAAGCCACCAUUCACAAAUUCUUUCAUACAUGUCACUCAUGCAUCAUUGCACAUCCCGGUACACCGCCGGAGGCAUUCAUAUAGAGUCAUAUCUUAUCCUAAGUAUCGAGUUGUAAUUCUUGAGUUGUAAGAAAAAUAAAAGUGUGAUGAUCAUCAUUAUUAGAGCAUUGUCCCAGUGAGGAAAGGAUGAUGGAGACUAUGAUUCCCCCACAAGUCGGGAUGAGACUCCGGACAAAAAAUAAAUAAAAGAGGCCAAAGAAGCCCAAAUAAAAAAAGAAAAGAGGCCAAAGAAGCCCAAAUAAAAAAAAGAAAAAAAGAGGCCAUAAAAAAGGAGAAAGGCCCAAAUAAAAAAUAAAAAAAUGAGAGAAAAAUAGAGAAGGGACAAUGCUACUAUCCUUUUACCACACUUGUGCUUCAAAGUAGCACCAUGAUCUUCAUGAUAGAGAGUCUCCAAUGUUGCCACUUUCAUAUACUAGUGGGAAUCUUCAUUAUAGAACUUGGCUUGUAUAUUCCAAUGAUGGGCUUCCUCAAAAUGCCCUAGGUCUUCGUGAGCAAGCGAGUUGGAUGCACACCCACUAGUUUCUUUUGUUGAGCUUUCAUACAUUUAUAGCUCUAGUGCAUCCAUUGCAUGGCAAUCCCUACUCACUCACAUUGAUAUCUAUUGAUGGGCAUCUCCAUAGCCCGUUGAUACGCCUAGUUGAUGUGAGACUAUCUUCCCCCUUUUUGUCUUCUCCACAACCACCACUCUAUUCCACCUAUAGUGCUAUAUCCAUGGCUCACGCUCAUGUAUUGCAUGAAGAUUGAAAAAGUUUGAGAACAUCAAAAGUAUGAAACAAUUGCUUGGCUUGUCAUCGGGGUUGUGCAUGAUUUAAAUAUUUUGUGUGGUGAAGAUAGAGCAUAGCCAGACUAUAUGAUUUUGUAGGGAUAGCUUUCCUUGGCCAUGUUAUUUUGAGAAGACAUAAUUGCUUAGUUGGUAUGCUUGAAGUAUUAUUAUUUUUAUGUCAAUAUGAACUUUUGUCUUGAAUCUUAUGGAUCUGAAUAUUCAUACCACAAUUAAGAAGAAUUACAUUGAAAUUAUGCCAACUAGCAUUCCACAUCAAAAAUUACCAUUUUAUCAUUUACCUACUCGAGGACGAGCAGGAAUUAAGCUUGGGGAUGCUUGAUACGUCUCAACGUAUCUAUAAUUUUUGAUUGCUCCAUGCUAUAUUAUCUACUGUUUUGGGCAAUAUUGGGCUUUAUUUUCCACUUUUAUAUUAUUUUUGGGACUAACCUAUUAACCGGAGGCCCAGCCCAGAUUUGUUGUUUUAUGCCUUUCAGUGUUUCGAAGAAAAGGAAUAUCAAACGGAGUCAAAACAGAACGAAGUCAACUAGAGAAGUUAUUUUUGGAAGGAAACCUACCGGAUAGACUUGGACCCUACGUCAGAGGAUGAAGGAGGAGCUCACGAGGGUAGGGGGCGCACCCACCCCCCUGGGGCGCGCCCCCUGCCUCGUGGCCCCCCCUUCGGUCCACCGACGUACUCCUUUCACCCAUAUAUACCCACGUAUCCUAAAACUUCCAGAACAGAGAUUAGAUCGGGAGUUCCGCCGCCAGAAGCCUUCGUAGCCACCGAAAACCAAUCUAGACCCAUUCCGGCACCCUACCAGAGGGGGCAAUCCCUCUUCGGUGGCCAUCUUCAUCAUCCCGGUGCUCUCCAUGACGAGGAGGGAGUAGUUCUCCCUCGGGGCUGAGGGUAUGUACCAGUAGCUAUGUGUUUGAUCUCUCUCUUGUGUUCUUGAGAUGAUACGAUCUUGAUGUGUCGCGAGCUUUGCUAUUAUAUUUGGAUCCUAUGAUGUUUCUUUCCCCCCUCUACUCUCUUGUAAUGAAUUGAGUCUCCCAUUUGAAGUAAUCUUAUCGGAUUGAGUCUUUAAAGAUUUGAGAACACUUGAUGUAUGUCUUGCCGUGGAUAUCUGUGGUAACAAUGGGAUAUCACGUGAUUCACUUGGUGUAUGUUUUGGUGAUAAACUUGCGGGUUCCGCCCAUGAACCUAUGCAUAGGGGUUGGCACACGUUUUCGUCGUGAUUCUCCUGUAGAACUUUGGGGCACUCUUUGAGGUCCUAUGUGUUGGUUGAAUAGAUGAAUCUGAGAUUGUGUGAUGCAUAUCGUAUAAUUAUAACCACGGAUACUUGAGGUGACAUUGGAGUAUCUAGGUGACAUUAGGGUUUUGGUUGAUUUGUAUCUUAAGGUGUUAUUCUAGUAUGAACUCUAGGGCUGUUUGUGACACUUAUAGGAAUAGCCCAACAGAUUGAUUGGAAAGAAUAACUUUGAGGUGGUUUCGUGCCCUACCAUAAUCUCUUAGUUCGUCCUCCGCUAUUAGUGACUUUGGAGUGACUCUUUGUUGCAUGUUGAGGGAUAGUUUUAUGAUCCAAUUAUGUUACUAUUGUUGAGGGAACUUACACUAGCGAAAGUAUGAACCCUAGGCCUUGUUUACUAUCAUUACAAUACCGUUUACGCUCACUUUUAUCAUUAGUUACCUUGCUGUUUUUACAAUUUCAUAUUACAAAUACCUUUAUCUACUAUCCAUAUACCACUUGUAUCACCAUGUCUUCGCCGAACUAGUGCACCUAUACAAUUUACCAUUGUAUUGGUUGUGUUGGGGACACAAGAGACUCUUUGUUAUUUUGUUGCAGGGUUGCUUGAGAGAGACCAUCUUCAUCCUACGCCUCCUACGGAUUGAUAAACCUUAGGUCAUCCACUUGAGGGAAAUUUGCUACUGUCCUACAAACCUCUGCACUUGGAGGCCCAACAACGUCUACAAGAAGAAGGUUGUGUAGUAGACAUCAGACACUUAUAGGAAUAGCCCAAUGGAUUGAUUGGAAAUAAUAACUUUGAGGUGGUUUCGUACCCUACCAUAAUCUCUUCGUUCAUUCUCCGCUAUUAGUGACUUUGGAGUGACUCUUUGUUGCAUGUUUAGGGUUAGUUAUGUGACCCAAUUAUGUUAGUAUUGUUGAGGGAACUUACACUAGCGAAAGUAUGAACCCUAGGCCUUAUUUCCACGCAUUUCAAUACUUUUUACGCUCACUUUUAUUAUUAGUUACCUUGCUGUUUUUAUAAUUUCAGAUUACAAAUACAUUUAUCUACCAUCCAUAUUGCACUUGUAUUACCAUCUCUUCGCCGAACUAGUGCACCUAUACAAUUUACCAUUGUAUUGGGUGUGUUGGGGACACAGGAGACUCUUUGUUAUUUGAUUGUAGGGUUUCUUGAGAGAGACUGAGGGAGUCCUGGAUUAGGGGGUCUCCGGACAGCUAGAUUAUAUCCUUUGGCCGGACUGCUGGACUAUGAAGACACAAGAUUGAAGACUUCGUCUCGUGUCCGGAUGGGACUCUACUUGGCGUGGUAGGCAAGAUAGGCAAUACGAAUAUGUAUAUUUCCUCCUUUGUAACCGACCUUGUGUAACCCUAGCCCCCUCUGGUGUCUAUAUAAACCGGAGGGUUUUAGUCCAUAGGACAACAUACAAUCAUACCAUAGGCUAGCUUCUAGGGUUUAGCCUCUCUGAUCUCGUGGUAGAUCUACUCUUGUACUACCCAUAUCAUCAAUAUUAAUCAAGCAGGACGUAGGGUUUUACCUCCAUCAAGAGGGCCCGAACCUGGGUAAAACUUCGUGUCCCUUGCCUCCUGUUACCAUCCGCCUAGACGCACAGUUCGGGACCCCCUACCCGAGAUCCGCCGGUUUUGACACCGACAUUGGUGCUUUCAUUGAGAGUUCCUCUGUGCCAUCGCCAGAAGGAAGGAUGUCACGUAUCGUCUUUAAAGACGGUACUACUGUCGGGGUUGCUUUGGCUGUCGGCCAAACUCUCCGGCUAGACGGUUUCAUCGUGACCGCCUGUUCGGCCGCCGUGCCGACGAUGACUUCUCGGGUCAUCGAAAACAGCCUCCACGUCAAAUCGGCACUCGCCGAACAGAUGGAUCCAAUAGAGCUCGCCUCCUUUAACGAGCUCUUAGAUCGCAUCGCCGCCUUGGGAGUUGCUACGGACUAUGAUCGGAUUGGGCUUAAACCCGAUCAAAGGGAGAUUAACUCUCCACCGGUCACCUAUUAUAUUGCAGUGGUGGAGGAACUAUGCGGCGACCUUUCCUCCAUCUUGAGGACCAACUAUGUCCAGAUUCCCGAGCUCUCUGAGCCGGACGCCUGUUCGCGGGAGGACAACAUCCAAUCCCUGAACUUAGAGUCAGGCAGCGGGCCAGGAUAAUUGGGUCACACCUCGGAACCGGAACUUCCAAAAUUGGAAACUCCUCGGCCCCUGGAUCCCAGAUCAGGUGAGGGUUCGGAUUCAAUUCCACCCACCCACCCAAACAUAAGCGAUCUUUCCCACAUCAGGCAAGAGCCCAUGAAACAGUACAUCACUAUUGGGCAAGAUUCCUCCUUGCGAUGAACAAGGUUAAGGACUGUCGCGAGGAAGACACAAUCAUAUUUUUCUACAAUAAUUGCACGGACAAGGGAAUCCUUAACGCCAUAAAUCGCCGUGAGAUAACACGCUUCGCUGACUUGGCGUCCAUAGUACGAAAGUACUGUGCGAUGGAAAGUGCCUGGAAAACCGAAAUAAACUUCUGGGAUAAUCCGGCCCUGAAUACAAACCCAGUCCGAAACAAAAUGGUGCAUUAUCACAAUACACCCGUGUCAACUACCAAAAAACAAAAACCCUCUACAGGGUAUGGAACCGUACUGGAGGGAUGGCUCAAUGGACCCUGCAAAAUUCAUAGUACAGCGGAUACAAUACCAACGCACAACCUUAGAGCAUGUUGGAUACUCCGGCAGGUGGCCAAAAGUGGUGAGGAUCUACUUCUCCCAAAUACCACAGAGCACCAUCCCGUGGAUAACAAUACGGUGUUAACGGUCUUUGAGACCUUCGCGUCAAAUAAUAGACGCAAGCGAACACUCCGCAACAUGGCCGAAAUCUUCCACGUAGCAGCAAUAAAUCCAUGGAGUGACAUGGCUAUGACCUUCAAUUCCAGUGACGAACCUAAAUUCCGGACAGCCCGAGCACCAGCCGCACUGGUCCUCAGUCCAAUCAUGGACGGCUUUCGACUCACCAAAGUACUCAUGGACGGCGACAGCGGAUUAAACCUCAUCUAUGAGGAAACUCUUCGAAAGAUGGAAAUAGACUGGAACCGCAUUGAGCAAAGUAGCACAACCUUUAGAGGAAUCAUCCCCAGUCGGGAAGCACGUCGUGCUGGGAAAAUCACACUAGAUGUGGUAUUCGGCACGCCGGAUAAUUACAGGUCGGAAGAAAUUACAUUCCAAGUGGACCCGUUCAGCAGUGGUUAUCACGCUCUUUUAGGACGGGAGGCAUUCACAAUCUUCCAAGUCGUACCUCAUUACGGGUACAUGAAGCUCAAAAUGCCCGGGCCCAACGGAAUCAUCACUCUCGCUAGCGAUCCAGACACAGCACUCCGCGCUGAAAACAAAACAACCGCAUUGGCCCUCGAGGCACUAUCCGAAGCCCUCUCGGUCGAGGAAUUAACCACGCUAUGCUCCACAAUGGACAGGGACGACGUGAUACUCGACAAGAGAUCCAAGUCCACCUCUUUUAAACCAGCGGAUGAAAUAGUCAAAUUCCAAGUCCACCCAACGGACCCUACAAAAACAGCCUCCAUCGGGGCAUAGUUAAGCCCCGCUGUGGACGCCGCACUACGAGAGUUCCUGCGCGAGAACUUGGACAUAUUCGCCUGGCAUCCCUCAGACAUGCCAGGAAUCCCAUGCAGGCUGGCCGAGCAUAGCCUCAAUAUCCUAAAGGGAUUCAAGCCGGUCAAGCAAGCUCUUCGGCGUUUCUCCGAACCUAAGAGACAUGCCAUGGGAGAGGAACUAGCCAAGUUAUUGGAGGCCGGAUUCAUCAAAGAAAUAAAACACCCGGACUGGCUAGCAAACCUGGUGAUGGUACCAAAGAAGGACAAAUUCUGGCGCCUUUGUGUCGAUUUCAAAGACCUCAAUAAAGCCUGCCCAAAGGAUCCCUUCCCCCUCCCACGCAUCGAUCAAAUCAUUGAUGCUACCGCAGGACACGAGUCAUUGUGCUUCCUCGACGCAUACUCCGGUUACCACCAAAUAAAGAUGGCGGAGUCCGAUCAAGCCGCAACGGCAUUCAUCACACCAUACGGUCCCUUCUGUUUUAACACAAUGCCUUUUGGGCUCAAGAACGCCGGCGCAACAUAACAGCGCAUGAUUCAGACAUGUCUGGAGAAACAAAUCGGCAAAACAGUAGAGGCAUACGUAGAUGAUGUGGUUGUUAAAACCAAACGCGUCAACUCUUUGAUAGAUGACUUGAGGCUCACAUUCGACAACCUCCGAACAUACGACAUCAAGCUCAAUCCGGAAAAAUGCGUUUUCGGCGUACCGGCCGGAAAGCUCCUGGGUUUCAUUGUCUCCAGUAGGGGUAUCGAAGCUAAUCCAGCCAAAAUCCGAGCUUUGUCACAGUUGGCUACACCAACAGACCUCAAACAAAUCCAGAAGUUAACUGGAUGCGUGGCGGCUCUAAGCCGCUUUAUCUCCCGCUUAGGAGAAAAAGCUUUACCCCUUUAUCGCCUUCUUCGGCGCACCGAACACUUUGAGUGGACGGACGCUGCCACAGCCAGAUUGGAAGAAAUAAAGGCCAUUUUGGCAACCAACCCAAUCCUGGCCGCGCCAAACAUUGGCGAACCAAUGCUAUUGUACAUUGCGGCAACUCAUCAAGUUGUAAGUGCAGUACUUGUCGUCGAACGAGAAGCUACCGGACAUAAAUUCCCUCUUCAAAAGCCGGUAUACUAUGUAUCCACUGUCCUCAGUCCAUGCAAAUCACGGUACCCACAUUAUCAGAAGAUAGCCUAUGCGGUAUUCAUGGCGUCCCAGAAGCUACGACACUACUUUCAAGAGUGUUCGAUUACGGUAGCCUCGGAAGUGCCACUUAAUGAUAUUAUAAACAACCGCGACGCUACAGGCCGGAUUGCCAAAUGGGCUAUUGAGCUCCUCCCGUUCGACAUAACAUACAAACCCCGAUGAGCCAUUAAAUCGCAAGUACUGGCCGACUUCGUCGCCGAAUGGACGGAGGCCGAACUCCCUAAAGAGUACGGUGCAUACUCCAACUGGAUCAUGCACUUCGACGGUUCUAAAAUGCUGGCUGAUCUAGGGGCUGGCGUCGUCCUGACAUCCCCAACCGGGGAUACCGUUCAGUAUGUACUACAAAUAUUGUAUACAGACUCCAACAAUGUAGCCGAAUACGAAGCUCUGUUGCAUGGUCUUCGGAUGGCAGUCUCCAUGGGCAUUCAACGCCUGGAGGUGCGUGGGGAUUCAAACCUUGCAAUAUCCCAAAUAAAUGGAGACUUUGACGCCAAGGAUCUGAAAAUGGCGGCCUAUCAAAACGCCGUCCUAAAAAUGUCAGCUCGGUUCGAGGGGCUCGAAUUCCGCCAUGUGGCUCGGGAAAACAAUUAGGCGGUGGAUGUCCUCGCCUGCAUCGGUGCAAAACGCGAUACGGUCCCCCCAACAUAUUUCUGGAAAGGCUGUCCAAGCCAUCCGUAGUAUGGGAAGGAGACACCGGUAAUAAUAGUCCGGACCCGGCCAAAAUGCCCGAUACCGAAUACUCUGACACAAUCGGAGGCUCUGCCACCGAAACAACACCUUCAGCCCAUGUAAUAAUGGCCAUUAUUGCCCCGUGGACAAAACCAUUCUUGGCCUACCUAACUAGAUAGGAACUUCCGGAGGACCAAAAUGAGGCACGCUGCAUAGUGCGGCGAUCCAAGGCCUACAGGGUCCAUGAGGGAGAAUUGUACAAAAGAGCACUACCGGAGUCCUUCAAAGGUGCAUCUCCGAAGAGGAAGGGCGGAAUCUUUUGGCAGAAAUUCACGCCGGACUCGACGGUCAUCACGCUGCAGCCCGGGCCCUUGUAAGCAAGGCCUUCCGCACAGGAUUCUAUUGGCCAGCAGCCCGGGCAGACGCACAAGACUUGGUCCAACGUUGCGCCGGUUGCCAGCUCUUUGCAAAUCAAAGCCACAUGCCACCCACCGCCCUCCAAACAAUCCCCAUUACAUGGCCCUUUGCGGUCUGGGGGCUUGACAUGGUUGGACCCCUUAAAGGGGGAACCCACAAGAAAAAAUACUUACUGGUCAUGGUGGAUAAAUUCACCAAAUGGAUAGAGGCCAAACCAGUUAAAACAACCGAAUCCGGACCGGUGAUAGACUUCAUAUCCAGGGUUGUACACUGUUAUGGCGUCCCCCACAACAUCAUCACUGACAAUGGCAGGAACUUCACGGCUGACGAGGUAAAACUCUGGUGCAGCAAAAUGGGCAUCAAGCUCGAUUAUGCUUCAGUCUAUCACCCACAAACCAACGGUCAAGUCGAGCGAGCAAACGGUCUUAUAAUGAGCGGCAUUAAACCCAGAUUAGUGUGUUCCUUAACGGAGUCUGACACACACUGGGUAGAGGAGCUCGAUUCCGUACUCUGGGGGCUGUGGACCACGCCGAAUCGUAGUACCGGAUAUACACCGUUCUUUAUGGUGUACGGUGCAGAGGCAGUCUUGCCCUGUGACAUAAUUCAUGACUCACCUCGAGUGCGCAUGUACGAAGAAAGAGAAGCCGAGCUCGAUCGGCAGGACAGUCUAGACACCUUGGAGGAGGAGCGCGACGUAGCCAAAGCCCGUUCCGCAUUUUAUCAGCAACAGGCUCGCAGAUACCAAAGCAGAGAAGUAAGGGCCAAAACUUAUAACAUUGGCGAACUAGUUCUACGCCUGCCGGAUAAGAAAAAGAACAAGAUCAAGCCCAAAUGGGAAGGUCCCUUCAUUAUUGACCAAGUUCUGACCGGUGGAGCGUACCGACUGCGGGAUGCAUCGACUAGUCGACUCGAGCCGAACACAUGGAACGCGGCCAGGCUCCGAAGAUUCUAUGCCUAGCACCGGACUCUAUGUUAGUUCCCUCCCUUUGUCCAUUUUCUGCAUAUACACCAUCUGUCUUGUUUCCCUUUCUUUCUUUCUCUUAUUAUUUCUCUAGGCCUUCAAGGGUCACCUUGUUCCUCGCUUGUACAUUACAGAUGCGCUAGACGCACUCUUCAUACCCGGGGGCUUCUUUCACAGAAGCUUGAAUUAUUUAUCUGGGCCUCACGCCCAACACAUGUGUUAUACUUCCGCAUGUACCUUUUUUCACCAUUGUAUGCAUCAAUAUGACUUAAGUUUUGGCCAAGCUGGGUUGCCUGGCUCUUGUAUUUAUGCCCUACGUUCCCGUUAAUUCGGCUAGGGCAUAAGGGGAGGACCUCUGCGAUUAUUACUGCCGGGUCAGCCGGAUGUGUACCUCAGACUGGGUGAAGCCGAAAGCUAGCGUUCUUAAGGGAAUAUUUGGUCGAUGAACAAAAGAUGAUUUUUAUUUAUUGUCCAUAUCUGCCCCCAGAUGCUUUUUCUGCGUUUCUUAUUGCAGUACGGACAUGCACUUUAGGGCAUGCUUACCCAGGGAAAGGAACCCUUAACGGAACUAUUCUCCCUGGAAGAUGUUUCUUACUACCCAUGUAAUAUAACAUAACUAGUUGGGCACUUGUCUGAUAAAGCACUAAUGACCCCUACGCCUGGUCUCCACGCAUACCCUGGUUUUAUAUAACUGAGCGGGUAUUCGGAUUCACUCCGGACUAUCGGGCCCGGAGGUUGAAGCGAAAAGGUCCGCAAUGACAAAUGAUCUACAAUCCGGCUAGAAGGCAUUAUACAUGUCACUUUAAUUACAUAGUCAGGCGGACUGACUAAAUUCCUCCUCUAUACCAUCCAACAGGCGGUCCAGCUUACAAUCCUGUUGUGAAUACUUUGUGGCUAAUUCUACUUGCCCAUAAACUAAGCUAACGGGGAUCUCUUUUCCGUUGGGCCCCACAGGUCCAACCUCGGCCAUGUGAUUUGGGUCUCCUUGGUAUACCGCGUCUUCACCAUGGCCCAGGCUUCUCUAGCACCCUGUCGGCAGGCUGAUAUCUUCCAUAAACGGAAGCGACGCCGUGCUCCCUUCAGCUUCUCCGCAAGCUCUGCAACACCUUCUGGCAGGGAGACGGACGGCCACAAGGCCUGGGCAAUGCCCUUCAUCACCUGCCGAACUUGUUCAUGCAGAUGUGACAGCUCGGACAGAAGAUCACCCGCAGACCCGGGCAUUUCCCCCGCGGGACGACCCGUCAGCAUACCUACAGACAUAACGCUGUUAGACAGCUUCUUCGCCGAACUCCUUUAAAGGAUUCAUUCAAACACUUACUGAAAAUGCCGUGCCGAAGCCGCUUAUUCUCCUUCUCGGAAUCCGCAAGCUGGCCCCGAACGUCUUUUAGUUCCACGUUCAGCUUAAUGUUGGCGUCUUGGAGAUUUUUUUUCUCCAGCAUAACCUUAGUCAACACGCAUUUGCCAGCCUCUAGCUGUCGCAUAACAUGCUGGUCCCCCGGACUUUCUCCGGACUCAUCCGCAAAAUCAAUUGUUAGAUCUACAGACACGCCGCACACUAUAUGGUAACCACCAUUCUUUAAAGUAAAUGUUACCAGCGGGAGGCUUUUUCUGUUCCUGCAAUGCAGCAAGAGCGGCCCCUAGUUGGGUCUUGCAUUCCUCCAGCUCCUGAGACAGCCUCGUAUUCUUCUCUGCAAGAACCUGCACAUUAAAGAUGAUCCUUAAAUCAGUUCUACUAACUGUUUCAAGUCUCAGGGGCUACUGAUACAUAUAAAUCGUCAGAUUUACUCACCCGUACAUCCUUUACAUACUGAUUCAUGGCUCUGGUUAGACCAUCUUGAGCAGCACGGAGGUACGCCUCUCCAGAAUUGAAGGCGUCGAACGCCUCUGGUGAGAAACAAGCGUCGCGGAGUACGGCCCGACGGCGCCUAUGAUUCCUGGCGCUUUCCACUUCUGAGUUUGUAGCGAAUAAUCUAUCCGCAUCCUCUGUAGGGGGAUUAUCCGGCGCCUGCCCCAUAUCGCCUUCCGCCUCCAUGUCCGGUCCUGGCGUCCGUUUGGUGGAAGCUUGAUUGGCAGCAUCGCCGGACAUAUUCCGGCGAGCGUUCUUUCUGUUAAAGAAACACGGUCGUCAUUACAUUUUGAGAAAGAUGACAACCAUGGAGCGGGGUUUUUCCUAUACCUUUGCGCCGGCAUCUCCGUCCUGACCGCCUUCCUCUUCUGCCUACCCGGCCUCGGUACCUCUUGUUGGCGAGUUGCUGCGGGUUCGACAGGGCGUCCCGAAUGCCUUCCCUGUAAAAGAUGCCAUGUGUAUAUGGUGGGUGAAGUGCCUACAAGGGGAUCCUAGUUUUGGAGUUGGGACUUUUUGAUUUUUCUUACCUGCGAUGCAGGGAGCAGUCCGGGAUAGUCGGCCGUAAUGGCCGCCAGGGCAUCGUCGCAGCUUAACUGAGAGAACUGCCGGUCUAUCAGUUCCACGGAGAUAACCGGAUCUUCUUCAAGUCCGGAGUCGAGGGCCCAAUCAGGGUCCUCUGGUUGUGGAGAAGGGCUGCUGACCUCCUUUAUGGAUUUUUGCAAUUCCUGCCACAAAGUGAUAAGGUGAAUACUUACGACUAAGAAUGCGGAAAAAUGGGAGCAGGGAGAUAUAACUUACCCAGCUUGGAGGAUUGUACAUGGAGAAUCCAUCCCGUGGCUUGAUACGGGUGAACUCCUCUUCCUCACCCUUGAACAGUUCGGACAUAAUCUUCGCUAGAGCGGCAGCAUUGUCUGGACCCUUACGCCCGCAGUGGGUGGCGUCAUCCGCCCCGUUAUAACACCACAAGGGGUGCCCAUGAUAUUGAAGUGGCCGCACUCCCCGCAUUCUGCAAAUCGACAUAACUUCGAUUAUUGUCAAUCCUGAUCAAGCCAGUGCUUUGAUCCGGUUCAUCAGAUAGAGGACUUCUCCGUUGUCUUCCGCCUGGGGGCUCCGUGGGCACCAACUUUGGUGCUUCUUCAGAGGAGCAUUGUUGAACUUAGGAAGACCCCGCCGAACAGGGUCCGGAAGGGGGACGCCCUCCAUAUAAAACCAUUCUGAAGGCCAGUCUUCGGACGACUUCUUCGGGGUACCGGACAGGUAUCCGGUAUCGGCGAUGCGCCAUAUUUCGGCUCCGCCCACUUGAUAAAGUGAUUCCCUCUGUGUGCGAGGGACAAGGCAGAAUAGCCUUUUCCACAGCUCGAAGUGAGCCUCGCAGCCUAGGAACAACUCGCAGAGAGCAACAUAGCCGACGAUAUGUAGAAUGGAGGCAGGGGUGAGAUUGUGUAAUUGGAGGCCGUAGAACUCCAGGAGCCCGCGGAGGAACAAAUGAAUUGGAAAUCCGAGUCCCCUUAGUAAAUAAGGAACAAGGCAGACCCGUUCCCCCAUGGAGGGACAAGGAAGGCUCUCCUCUUGCGCCCCGCCAUUGUAGGUGGCGAGCCCGGCUCGAACGGGCACCAUAUACGCUGGAGGGAGAAAUCCCUUAGUCUGCAGCUCGACUAAUCGACUGUGCGGGAGGAGGAGCUACGGAGGUCGACCAUGCUGGAAUGGAUCUUUCCGAAGCACACUCUGAUGAAUUCUCGCUGGGGGAGGAUGAUGUGGAUCAGAUAUAAGAAUCCUUGUCCCUUUAAUAGACAAUUUAUCUAUCUGGCUAGGGGGGCGAAUGUAAAAAAUGCCCUGGCGCCUCGUAUUCAUUCAAUGCGUGGGAGAUAGCCCUUAUUGGGCACAGAAGCUAAGAGGUUCAACAUUUAUGGAGCCGAACACUGCUUACAAACACUUGAAAGUUGGAGAAGAACCCGCCUUGCAAUGCCGAAGACAACACUGCGCGCUGGACUCAUCAUCAUUGAAGCCUGGUUCGGGGGCUACUGAGGGAGUCCUGGAUUAGGGGGUCUCCGGACAGCCGGAUUAUAUCCUUUGGCCGGACUGUUGGACUAUGAAGACACAAGAUUGAAGACUUCGUCUCGUGUCCGGAUGGGACUCUACUUGGCGUGGAAGGCAAGCUAGGCAAUACGGAUAUGUAUAUUUCCUCCUUUGUAACCGACCUUGUGUAACCCUAGCCCCCUCCGGUGUCUAUAUAAACCGGAGGGUUUUAGUCCGUAGGACAACAUACAAUCAUACCAUAGGCUAGCUUCUAGGGUUUAGCCUCUCUGAUCUCGUGGUAGAUCUACUCUUGUACUACCCAUAUCAUCAAUAUUAAUCAAGCAGAACAUAGGGUUUUACCUCCAUCAACAGGGCCCGAACCUGGGUAAAACUUCGUGUCCCCUGCCUCCUGUUACCAUCCGCCUAGACGCACAGUUCGGGACCCCCUACCCGAGAUCCACAGGUUUUGACACCGACAGAGACCAUCUUCAUCCUACGCCUCCUAUGGAUUGAUAAACCUUAGGUCAUCCACUUGAGGGAAAUUUGCUACUGUCCUACAAACCUCUGCACUUGGAGGCCGAACAACGUCUACAAGAAGAAGGUUGUGUAGUAGAUAUCAAGCUCUUUUCUGGCGCCGUUGCCGGGGAGGUGAGUGCUUGAAGGUUAUAACACCCUCGAUGCGGCUAUAUCUCCCACGUGUCGAAGCACGACUUAGAGGCAUAACCCCAUUGAAAGCAAUGUCGCAAGUGAGGUAAUCUUCACACAACCCAUGUAAUACAUAAGGGAAAGAGAUACAUAGUUGGCUUACAAUCGCCACUUCACACAAAUACAUGAAUAAAGCAUUACAUCAUCCAGAUACAAACAAGGUCCGACUACGGAACCAAAAUAAAAGAAGACUACCCCAAAAGCUACACAGAUCCCCGAUCGACCCCAACUGGGCUCCACUACUGAUCAACUGGAAACUGAACAACACAAAGAACGAGAUCUUCAUCGAGCUCCUCCUUGAGCUUGGUUGCGUCAUCUGCACGGUUCAACGGCACUUGCAAGCUGGUUUUGGAAGUAUCUGUGAGUCACGGGGGCUCAGCAAUCUCGCACCCUCGCGAUCAAGACUAUUUGAGCUUAUAGGUAAGGUAAAAGGUAUGAGGUGGAGCUGCAACAAGCGACUAGCAUAUAUGGUGGCUAACAUACGCAAAUGAGAGCGAGAAGAGAAGGCAAAAGCACGGUCGAACAACUAUGAUCAAGAAGUGAUCCUAGAACAACCUACGUCAAACAUAACUCCAACACCGUGUUCACUUCCCGGACUCCGCCGAGAAGAGACCAUCACGGUUACACACGCGGUUGGUGCAUUUUAAUUAAGGUCAACUUCAGGUUUUCUACAACCGGACAUUAACAAAUUCCCAUCUGCCCAUAACCGCGGGCACGGCUUUCGAAUGUUCAAAUCCCUACAGGGGUGUCCCAACUUAGCCCAUCACAAGCUCUCACGAUUAACGAAGGAUAUUCCUUCUCCCAAGACAUUCCGAUCAGACUCGGCAUCCAGGUUACAAGACAUUUUGACUAUGGUAAAACAAGUCCAGCAACACCGCCCGAAUGUGCCGACAAAUCCCGAUAGGAGCUGCACAUAUCUCGUUAUCAGGGCACACUCAGAUGAGCUCUCCAUACAACUAAAACCAAACCUCGAGUUUCCCCGAGGGGGCGCUGCACAGGGCUCUAGUUUGGACCAACNNNNNNNNNNNNNNNNNNNNNNNNNNNNNNNNNNNNNNNNNNNNNNNNNNNNNNNNNNNNNNNNNNNNNNNNNNNNNNNNNNNNNNNNNNNNNNNNNNNNNNNNNNNNNNNNNNNNNNNNNNNNNNNNNNNNNNNNNNNNNNNNNNNNNNNNNNNNNNNNNNNNNNNNNNNNNNNNNNNNNNNNNNNNNNNNNNNNNNNNNNNAAAAUAAUGAUGACCCUUGAGUCUCCAGAACCCAAUGGAAAGAAAAAGGCUUGGUGGCGAAUGGUAAAACCAAUGUUGGGCAUUGCUGGAGGAGUUUUAUCCAAGGCGAACUGUCAAGGGGUUCCCAUUAUAACCCAACCGCGUAAGGAAUGCAAAAUCUGGGAACAUAACACCGAUAUGACGGAAACUAGGGCGGCAAGAGUGGAAAGAAACACCAGGCAUAAGGCCGAGCCUUCCACCCUUUACCAAGUAUAUAGAUGCAUUAAUUAAAUAAGAGAUAUUGUGAUAUCCCAACAAAAUAUCCAUGUUCCAACAUGGAACAAGCUUCAUCUUCACCUGCAACUAACAAUGCUAUAAGAGGGGCUGAGCAAAGCGGUAACAGAGCCAAACAACGGUUUGCUAGGGCAAGGUGGGUUAGAGGCUUGGUUCAACAAUAUGGGAGGCAUGAUAAGCAAGUGGUAGGUAUCGCAGCAUAGGCAUAGCAAAAGAGCGAGCAACUAGCAAGCAAAGAUAGAAGUGAUUUCGAGGGUAUGGUCAUCUUGCCUGAAAUCCCGCAAGGAAGAAGAACGAGUCCAUGAAGAAGGGGACGUAGUCGAACGGGUCCUCACAAACGCAAUGUUACCGGAACCAACCCGAAGAAGCAACACCGGAAAGAAGCACACAACAUAGUAAACAACCAACACAUGAACAUGGUAUGAUAUGCGGGAUGCGGUAUGCGGUGCAUAUGCAUGAUUUGGAAAGGAAUGAUUGAACCUGGCCUCAACUUGGAAAUCCAAGAGUGCCACUAGAAAAAUGAGAUGAUUUCGGUUGAAAUCGAUAUAAAUAUCUCCGGAAUCGGAUGCACGGUUUGGAAAUGGCAAGCAAAACAAAUAUGACACCGGUCUGCGAUAAACAGCAAGUAGCCAUCUAAAUGCAUCAAGAUAAAUGUGCUACAACACUCAAACAUGGCAACAAAAUACAUGGCAGAGAUCCACUCAUGAUGCUUGACAAAAGAUGAACACUGAGCUACGGCUAAUUCAUCCAUUAACAGGUUCAAACAAGCAUGUCAAAAGUGCAAAUGACAACAGGAUUCAGACUUAGUGAAAUUAACACAAGGCUGGAAUUUAUCAUCAGGAAGCACACUUUAGAGCAUGAAAACUACAAGCUACAGGAACUUAACAUGGCAAAGCAAGGCAUGGCAUGAAGCUACUCAAAGCACUUAACAAAAGUCCCUUAUUGACCCUGAGCCAAAAGGGAUCAUAAAAUACAAUUGCAAGUAUGUGAACAUGGCAAAAACAUAAACAUAUCUCAGACUUAGUGAAAAACUGGAGCAUGCAAAUCAGUUAACGAGUAGGCAUGUUUACGAGCUCGAUGCAUUCACUACAGAGCAUGGCAUGACAAACUAAGCAUACACACAUCAAGAAGACAUGGCAUAUAAGCUAGACAUGGCAAGAACAACAUCAUAGCAUGCACAGAUCAAUAGCAACAUCUUCGGCAAAAUCGCUAAACAAGUUAACAAUCUGCCAGGAACAUUUUAUAGCAAAAGUAGAGCUCGAUUGACUCAAGUUAGGUUGCUCCAUAAUUGCAAACAAAUACAUGGAUGGGUAGAGCACCACAAUGUUAACAAAACAUCCUUACUGAUCAUCCUCAAAAGAGGCACGGAUCACUAGGAAACAACAUGAACAUAUGGCAUAACAACAAAAACAGGACAAUGACUUAGUGAAAUUCUAAGUCCCUGAAAUCAGCAUUACCGAUUACGCUACUUUGGAAGCUUGUGCUAGUCACCACAUAGAGCACAAAAAUACAUGGCCAACACCUCUGUAAAGAUGGCAUGACAUAUAACAAAACACAUGUAGAGCUUAGGAUCAUAGCAUGCACACAUUAAACAUGGCAAAAAUGACAAAAUGCCAUUUGAUGAAACAGAUCUGACAAAUUCAUCACAUAGCCCUCUUCCAACAGCAUUUCGGGCAUAAAGAUGAGCUCAAAUGAAAAUGAUGCAAUGAGAUGAAAUGAUGUACUCGUCGAGACGAACAUUUUGAUAUGCUACACGCAUAAAUUGGAUCUACAUAUGCAGAGUUAUGAUGCGAUGAAAAAUGCAAAAAGAUUAGGGUUAGAGGAGAAAAGUCAACCGCGAGGGGAUUUCAGAUCCAGAUCCAGCGCGGGGCACUGUAGCAGUCGGUGCGCAAACCGAGGUCAGCGUCGCGGGCUCGUCGGAGAAAAGGGCGGGGAGGACGCCGGUGACGAGGGAAGAGGCGGUGGAGGCGCGGAUCGGCGACGCGCUCGCCGGAGAGGACCGAAUGGCAGCGGGCGGCGAGGCUCCGGCCGGACGCACGGCGUACGGCGCGGACGGCGGCGAUGGCCGACAAGGUGGCGUUGCACGGCGGGCGCUGGCGCGGGAGGCGAUGGAGGCGCAGCGCGUGGCGGCGGAUCAAGCAAGCGUGGCGGCGGGGAUCCUCGGGCGUCGCGGUGGCGAACGGGAGCGGGGCGGCGGCGGCACGGGUCAGGCGGGCCGGAUCUGGGCCUGCAGGGCCUGGCGCGGUGGAGGCAGCGGCUGAGGCCAGGUGGCGGCCUGGGAGUGGCUGGGCGCGGUGGCGGGAUCUUGUCCGGUCCGGGACGGACAUGUUCGGCGGGCGAGAGGGGGAUUUUUAGGGUUUUAUCCGCAAGAUUUUGGGGGAGAUGACAUAUAUAUAGGUAGAGGGAGCUAGGAGAGUCCAAAUGAGGUGCGGUUUUCAGCCACGCGAUCGUGAUCAAACGACCGAGAUGAUGGAGGAGGUUUAGGUGGGUUUUGGGCCAUUUCGGAAGGGUGUCGGGCUGCAACACAAACGAGGCCUUCUCGUUCCCUCAGUUAAACAUUGGAGUAUCAAACAAAGUCCAAAUGGCACGAAACUUGACAGGCGGUCUACCGGUAGUAAACCAAGGCCGCAUGACAAGUCUCAGUGCAAUCCGAAAACGUCUAACACCUGCACACAAAAAGAGGUAGAAAGGGACACCAAGUGACAUAGGAGCGCCGGAUUGCAAAACAGACAACGGGGAAAAUGCUCGGAUGCAUAAGACGAACAUGUACGCAAAUGAAAUGCACAUGAUGACAUGGUAUGCAAUGCAUGACGCGCAAGCAAUGACAAGGCAACAACAGCGAAUAACUGGAGGACACUUGGCACAUCGGUCUCGAGGCGUUACAAAGGUAUAUCUUUAGAUCUUGCAAUCGAGUAUUUUAGUUUCUUGUUUUAUCACUAGUUUAGUUUAUAAAAGAAAAUAAAAAAUGGAAUUAAGUUUGCCUCAUACUCUUUAUCUUUUUAAUAUCUAUCGUGACAAUAAGGAUUCCAAUAAUUGUGCUCAAGUGCUAGAAGAAGAUUGCAUUAGAAUGUUUGGCACUAAAUAUUUGAAUGAUGAGCAUGAUUGCAAUGUUGUUAGUACGAGUUCCUUGAAUAUCCAUGAUGCUAAUGAUAUGCAAAGCCACAAGUUUGGGGAAGCUAUGUUUGAUGAAGAUGAUAUUUUUCCCCCAAGUUUUGAUGAGCAAAUUUAUUAUGAUAAAAGCAUGCCGACUAUCUAUGAUGAUUAUUGUGAUGACAUGUAUGCUUUAAAGAGUAAUGAUAACCAUAAAACUUGUCAUCUUGAUCUUAAUUUUCAACCACAUGAUAGUUAUUUUGUUGAGUUUGCUCCCACUAUUGUUCAUGAGAAGAAUUUUGCUUGUGUGGAGAGUAGUAAAUUUUCUAUGCUUGUAGAUCAUGAAAUUAAUGCUUUAGGUUCUGGUUAUAUUGUUGAAUUCAUUCAUGAUGCUACUGAAAGUUAUUAUGAGGGAGGAACAUAUGCUUGUAGUAAUUUCAAUAAUAUCAAGUUUCCCCUCUAUGUGCUUAAAAUUUUGAAGUUAUGCUUGUUUUACCUUCCUAUGCAAGUUGAUUAUUGUUUCCACAAGUUGUUUGCUCACAAAAUCCCUAUGCACAGGAAGUAUGUUAGACUUAAAUGUGCUAGUCAUAUUCUUCAUGAUGCUCUCUUUAUGUUUCAAUUCUUAUCUUUUAUGUGAGCAUCGUUGAAAUCAUCAUGCCUAGCUAGGGGCGUCAAACGAUAGCGCUUGUUGGGAGGCAACCCAACUUUAUUUUUGUUCCUUAAUUUUUGCUCCUGUUUAGUAAUAAAUAAAUCAUCUAGCCUCUGUUUAGAUGUGGUUUUAUGCUUUUAAUUAGUAUUUGUGCCAAGUAGAACCUUUGGGAAGACUUGGGGAAAGUCUUUGUGAUCAUGCUGUAAAAAACAGAAACUUUAGCGCUCACGAGAAUUGCUGCCAUUUUUAUUUGGAGAGUGCUAUUUAGUUAAUUAUUUUUGAAGAUGAUUAAUAGAAAAAUUCCUCAGGUCCAGCAAUUUAUUUGAGAAUUUUAUGUGUUCCAAAAGUAUACGUUUUAUUCAUAUUACUACAGACUGUUCUGUUUUUGACAGAUUCUGUUUUUCGUGUGUUGUUUGCUUAUUUUGAUGAAUCUAUGGCUAGUAAAAUAGUUUAUAAACCAUAGAGAAGUUGGAAUACAGUAGUUUUAACACCAAUAUAAAUAAAGAAUGAGUUCAUUACAGUACCUUGAAGUGGUCUUUUGUUUUCUUAUACCAACGGAGCUUACGGGUUUUCUGUUAAGUUUUGUGUUGUGAAGUUUUCAAGUUUUUGGUAAGGAUUCGAUGGACUAUGGAAUAAGGAUUGGCAAGAGCCUAAGCUUGGGUAUUACCAAGGCACCCCAAGGUAAUAUUCAAGGACAACCAAUAGCCUAAGCUUGGGGAUGCCCCGGAAGGCAUCCCCUCCUUCGUCUUCGUUCAUCGGUAACUUUACUUGGAGCUAUAUUUUUAUUCACCACAUGAUAUGUGUUUUGCUUGGAGCAUCAAUUUAUUUUGUUAGGAUUUUCUUGCUGUUAUUUAGAACAAUGUUUUGCAUCUUUUAUUUCAAUAAAAGUGGCAUUGAUAGCCUUUACUAUGCCUAUGUUACAAGUAUACAUGUUGCUGUUUGAAAACAGAAAGUUUACCGCUGUUACAAUAAUUCCCUAGAAAAUUCAGAAUGUGAUAAAAUGUUGAAACCUUUUGAAUAUUAAGCUCUGAUAAAUUUACUACAGUGGUAAUUUUAUUUCAUAAUUUUUGGAUCUAGGGAAGUAUGGAUGUUGCUGCAUUCUUUACAGACUAUCCUGUUUAGGCAGAUUGCUGUUAUCUUUGCAUUGUUUGCAUAUGUUUGCUUCUUUAAUGAUUUUAUUUGAGGAUAGGACUAUUAAAUAUUCAGAUGCAUUUAGUAUGCAAUGUUUAAUAAUAAUUUUAGUGAUUUUAUACAGUAGAGUAUGAUAAGGUUUUUGCAAUGGUUUAUACUAACUUAUCUCGCGAGUCCUUGUUGAGUUUUGUGUGGAUGAAGCUUUUGAGAUUUAGGGAACCGUGAUAUGAGAGGAAUUAAGGAGACACAAAAGCUCAAGCUUGGGGAUGCCCAAGUCACCCCAAGAUAAUAUGUCAAGAAGUCUCAAGCAUCUAAGUUUGGGGAUGCCCCGGUUGGCAUCCCACCUUUCUUCUUCAACAUCUAUCGGUUAGUUUCGAUUGAUCCUAAGUUUCUGCUUCUUCACAUGAUGUUUGCCAUUCUUAGAAUGUCAUUUUAUUUUGCUUUGCUUGCUGUUUGAAUAAAAUACCAAGAUCUGAAAUUAUUAAAUGUUAGAGAGUCUUCACAUAGUUGCAUAAUUUUUCAACUACUCAUUGAUCUUCACUUAUAUCUUUCGGAGUAGUUUGUCAUUUGCUCUAGUGCUUCACUUAUAUCCGUUUAGAGUACGGUAGUGGUUUUAUUUUAUAGAAAUAGAUGAACUCUCAUGCUUCACUUAUAUUAUUUUGAGAGUCCUAAAUAGCAUGGUAAUUUGCUUAAAUAAUCCUAAUAUGCUAGGCAGCCAAGACUAGUAAAAACUUUUAUAUAAGUGCAUUGAAUACUAAGAGAAGUUUGAUGCUUGAUGAUUGUUUUGAGAUAUGGAGGUAAUAAUAUCAAAGUCGUGCUAGUUGAGUAGUUGUGAAAUUGAGAAAUACUUGUGUUGAGGUUUGCAAGUCCCGUAGCAUGCAUGUAUGGUAAACGUUGUGUAACAAAUUUGAAACAUGAGGUGUUAUUUGAUUGUCUUCCUUAUGAGUGGCGGUCGGGGACGAGCGAUGGUCUUUUCCUACCAAUCUAUCCCCCUAGGAGCAUGCGCAUAGUGCCGAGGUUUUUGAUGACUUGUAUAUUUUUGCAAUAAGUAUGUGGGUUCUUUAUGACUAAUGUUGAGUCCAUGGAUUAUACGCACUCUCACCCUUCCAUCCUUGCUAGCCUCUUCGGUACCGUGCAUUGCCCUUUCUCACAUUGAGAGUUAGCGCAAACUUCGCCGGUGCAUCCAAACUCCGUGAUAUGAUACUCUCUUUCACACAUAAAACCUCCUUAUAUCUUCCUCAAAACAGCCACCAUACCUACCUAUUAUGGCAUUUCCAUAGCCAUUCCGAGAUAUAUUGCCAUGCAAGUUUCCAUCAUUCAAUUCAUCAUGACACAUUCAUCAUUGUCAUAUUUCUUAGCAUGAUCAUGUAGUUGACAUCGUAUUUGUGGCAAAGCCACCGUUCAUAAUACUUUCAUACAUGUCACUCUUGGUUCAUUGCAUAUCCCGGUACACCGCCGGAGGCAUUCAUAUAGAGUCAUCUUUGUUCUAGUAUCAAGUUGUAAUCAUUGAGUUGUAAAUAAAUAGAAGUGUGAUGAUCAUCAUUAUUAGAGCAUUGUCCCAAGUGGGGAAUAAAAAAAGGGAGAAAGGCCAUAAAAAAGAAGGCCCAAAAAAGGCCAUAAAAAGGGAGAAGGCCCCAAAAAAAUGAGAGAAAAAGAGAGAAGGAACAAUGUUACUAUCCUUUUACCACACUUGUGCUUCAAAGUAGCACCAUGGUCUUCAUAGUAGAGAGUCUCUCAUGUUAUCACUUUCAUAUACUAGUGGGAAUUUUUCAUUAUAGAACUUGGCUUGUAUAUUCCAAGAAUGGGCCUCCUCAAGUGCCCUAGGUCUUCGUGGGCAAGCAAGUCGGAUGCACACCCACUAGUUUCUUUUGUUGAGGUUUCAUACAUUUAUAGCUCUAGUGCAUCCAUUGCAUGGCAAUCCCUACUCCUUGCAUUAACAUCAAUCAGUGGGCAUCUCCAUAGCCCAUUGAUUAGCCUCGUUGAUGCGAGACUUUCUCCUUUUUGUCCUCUCCACAUAACCCCCUCAUUAUUCUAUUCCACCCAUAGUGCUAUAUCCAUGGCUCGCGCUCAUGUAUUGCGUGAAAGUUUAUAGGUUUGAGAUUACUAAAGUAUGAAACAAUUUCUUGGCUUGUCAUCGGGGUUGUGCAUGAUGAGAGCAUUCUUGUGUGACGAAAAUCAAACAUGACUAAACUAUAUGAUUUUGUAGGGAUGAACUUUCUUUGGCCAUGCUAUUUUGAGAAUACAUAAUUGCUUAGUUAGUAUGCUUGAAGUAUCAUUUUUAUGUCAAUAUGAACUUUUGUCUUGAAUCUUACGGAUCUGAAUUCAUACCACAAUUAAUAAGAAUUACAUUGAAAUUAUGCCAAGUAGCACUCCGCAUCAAAAAUUCCGUUUUUAUCAUUUACCUACUCGAGGACGAGCAUGCAUUAAGCUUGGGGAUGCUGAUACGUCUCCAACGUAUCUAUAAUUUUUGAUUGCUCCAUGCUAUAUCAUCUACUGUUUUGAAUGUUUAUGGGCUUUAUUAUACACUUUUAUAUCAUUUUUGGGACUAACCUAUUAACCAAGAGCCCAAUGCCAGUUUCUGUUUUUACCCUGUUUUAGGGUUUCAAAGAAAAGGAAAAUCAAACAGAGUCCAAUUGACCUGAAACUUCACGGAACUCAUUUUUGGAAGGAAAGAAGCACAGAAGACUUGGAGUGCACGUCGGGGGAUCUGCGAGGAGCUCACGAGGCAGGAGGGCGCGCCCACCCCCUGGGCGCGCCCUCCACCCUCGUGAGCCCCUCGUGCCCCCCUGACGUACUUCUUCCACCUAUAUAUCUCCAUAUACCCUAAAAACACCGAGAGCACAAUAGAUCGGGAGUUCCGCCGCUAGAAGCCUCCGUAGCCACCGAAAACCAAUCUAGACCCGUUCCGGCACCCUGCCGGAGGGGGCAAUCCUUCUACGGUGGCCAUCUUCAUCAUCCCAGUGCUCUCCAUGACGACGAGGGAGUAGUUCUCCCUCAGGGCUGAGGGUAUGUACCAGUAGCUAUGUGUUUGAUCUCUCUCUCUCUCUCUCUCUCUCUCUCUCGUGUUCUUGAGGUGAUACGAUCUUGAUGUAUCACGAGCUUUGCUAUUAUAUUUGGAUCCUAUGAUGUUUCUUCCCCCCUCUACUCUCUUGUAAUGAAUUGAGUUUCCCCUUUGAAGUUAUCUUAUCGGAUUGAGUCUUUAAAGAUUUGAGAACACUUGAUGUAUGUCUUGCCGUGGAUAUCUGUGGUGACAAUGGGAUAUCACGUGAUUCACUUGAUGUAUGUUUUGGUGAUCAACUUGAUGGUUCCGCCCAUGAACCUAUGCAUAGGGGUUGGCACACGUUUUCGUCGUGAUUCUCUGUAGAACUUUUGGGCACUCUUUGAGGUCCUUUGUGUUGGUUGAAUAGAUGAAUUUGAGAUUUUGUGAUGCAUAUCGUAUAAUCAUACCCACGGAUAGUUGAUGUGACAUUGGAGUAUCUAGGUGACAUUAGGGUUUUGAUUGAUUUGUGUCUUAAGGUGUUAUUCUAGUACGAACUCUAGGGCUGUUUGUGACACUUAUAGGAAUAGCCCAACGGAUUGAUUGGAAAGAAUAACUUUGAGGUGGUUUCAUACCCUACCAUAAUCUCUUCGUUCAUUCUCCGCUAUUAAUGACUUUGGAGUGACUCUUUGUUGCAUGUUUAGGGAUAGUUAUGUGAUCCAAUUAUGUUAGUAUUGUUGGGGGAACUUACACUAGCGAAAGUAUGAACCCUAGGCCUUAUUUCCACGCAUUGCAAUACCGUUUACGCUCACUUUUAUUAUUAGUUACCUUGCUAUUUUAUAAUUUCAGAUUACAAAUACCUUUAUCUACCAUCCAUAUUGCACUUGUAUCACCAUCUCUUCGCCGAACUAGUGCACCUAUACAAUUUACCACUGUAUUGGGUGUGUUGGGGACACAAGAGACUCUUUGUUAUUUGGUUGCAUGGUUGCUUGAGAGAGACCAUCUUCAUCCUACGCCUCCUAUGGAUUGAUAAACGUUAGGUCAUCCACUUGAGGGAAAUUUGCUACUGUCCUACAAACCUCUGCACUUGGAGGCCCAACAACGUCUACAAGAAGAAGGUUGUGUAGUAGACAUCAGUGUGCCGGAUCCUCCCCUGCGAGAGUCAAGCCACCCUCUAUGGGAUUUCAACCCGAAGAAACACCAUACCCUGGAGAGGCUCUUCGAAACAACUCACGAAGAUGCCUGGAAGUUGCUCUUCAAGGGCAACGAGAUACCGCCGGCCACAGAUUCGGACCACGGUCACAACAUUAACCACCUCCCCAACGAGGUAUGUUAUUUUCAACACAUCCCCUACUUGCUUGUUUCAAGGACGAUAUCUAAGCUUUUAUUAUCAUUGCUUCUUUAGAACUGGUUGAAGAGGGUGAAGCAGAUCCGGUGUCUGGCUCCCCUGCCUGAAGAACCAGUAAUCUCGCGUUUAGCGAAGAUGCUGGAGCCGACGCCUUAUAAGGCGCCAGAGAACAAGGCCACAAGAAAGGCCAAGGGGGUCCAGAGUGACCCCGCCGCAAGGGCGCUUCGGACGUGACGUCCGAAGACAAGACCCGCUCCUCCGCCGCCGAAGACGACGAGUGUUGGGGAACAUAGUAAUUUCAAAAAAAUUCCUACGCACACGCAAGAUCAUGGUGAUGCAUAGCAACGAGAGGGGAGAGUGUGAUCUACGUACCCUUGUAGACCGACAACGGAAGCGUUAGCACAACACGGUUGAUGUAGUCGUACGUCUUCACGGCCUGACCGGUCAAGCACCGAAACUACGACACCUCUGAGUUCUAGCACACGUUCAGCUCGAUGACGAUUCCCGGACUUCGAUCCAGCAAAGUGUCGGGGAAGAGUUCCGUCAGCACGACGGCGUGAUGACGAUCUUGAUGUACUACCGUCGCAGGGCUUCGCCUAAGCACAGCUACAAUAUUAUCGAGGAUUAUGGUGGAAGGGGGCACCGCACACGGCUAAGAAUAUGAUCACGUGGAUCAACUUGUGUCUAGAGGUGCCCCCUGCCCCCCGUAUAUAAAGGAGCAAGGGAGGAGGAGGCCGGCCCUAGGAGGGGGCACGCCAAGUGUGGAGUCCUACUAGGACUCCCUAGUCCUAGUAGGAUUCCACCUCCCAUAUGGAAUAGGAAAAGAGGAAGGGAAAAGGAGAAGGAAGGAAGGGGGCGCCCCCCUUCCCUAGUCCAAUUCGGACCAGACCAAGGGGAGGGGUGCGGCCACCCUUGAGGCCCUUUUUCUUCUUUCCUGUAUGGCCGAAUAAGGCCCAAUACGUAUUCCCGUAACUCUCCGGUACUCCGAAAAAUAUCCGAAUCACUCGGAACCUUUCCGAUGUCCGAAUAUAAUCGUUCAAUAUAUCGAUCUUUACGUCUCGACCAUUUCGAGACUCCUCGUCAUGUCCCCGAUCUCAUCCGAGAUUCCGAACUCCUUCGGUACAUCAAAACUCAUAAACUCAUAAUAUAACUGUCAUCGAAACCUUAAGCGUGCGGACCCUACGGGUUCGAUAACAAUGUAGACAUGACCAAGACACAUCUCCAGUCAAUAACCAAUAGCGGAACCUGGAUGCUCAUAUUGGCUCCCACAUAUUCUACGAAGAUCUUUAUCAGUCAGACCGCAUAACAACAUACGUUGUUCCCUUUGUCAUCGGUAUGUUACUUGCCCGAGAUUCGAUCGUCGGUAUCUUAAUACCUAGUUCAAUCUCAUUACCGACAAGUCUCUUUACUCGUUCCGUAAUACAUCAUCUUACAACUAACUCAAUAGUUGCAAUGCUUGCAAGGCUUAUGUGAUGUGCAUUACCGAGAGGGCCCAGAGAUACCUCUCCGACAAUCAGAGUGACAAAUCCUAAUCUCGAAAUACGCCAACCCAACAUGUACCUUUGGAGACACCUGUAGAGCUCCUUUAUAAUCACCCAGUUACGUUGUGACGUUUGGUAGCACACAAAGUGUUCCUCUGGCAAACGGGAGUUGCAUAAUCUCAUAGUCAUAGGAACAUGUAUAAGUCAUGAAGAAAGCAAUAACAACAUACUAAACGAUCGGGUGCUAAGCUAAUGGAAUGGGUCAUGUCAAUCACAUCAUUCUUCUAAUGAUGUGAUCCCGCUAAUCAAAUAACAACUCUUUUGUUCAUGGUUAGGAAACAUAACCAUCUUCGAUUAACGAGCUAGUCAAGUAGAGGCAUACUAGUGACACUCUGUUUGUCUAUGUAUUCACACAUGUAUUAUGUUUCCGGUUAAUACAAUUCUAGCAUGAAUAAUAAACAUUUAUCAUGAUAUAAGGAAAUAAAUAAUAACUUUAUUAUUGCCUCUAGGGCAUAUUUCCUUCAGUCUCCCACUUGCACUAGAGUCAAUAAUCUAGUUCACAUUGCCAUGUGAUUCAACACUAAUAGUUCACAUCACCAUGUGAUUAACACCCAUAGUUCACAUCGUCAUGUGACCUAUACCCAAAGGGUUUACUAGAGUCAAUAAUCUAGUUCACAUCGUUUAUGUGAUUAACACCCAAAGAGUACUAAGGUGUGAUCAUGUUUUGCUUGUGAGAUAAUAUUAGUCAACGGGUCUGUCACAUAUAGAUCCGUAAGUAUUUUGCGAAUUCUAUGUCUACAAUGCUCUGCAUGGAGCUACUCUAGCUAAUUGCUCCCACUUUCAAUAUGUAUCUAGAUCGAGACUUAGAGUCAUCCAGAUCUAUGUCAAAACUUGCAUCAACGUAACUUUUUACGACGAGCCUUUUUGUCACCUCCAUAAUUGAGAAAUAUUUCCUUAUUCCACUAAGGAUAUUUUGACCGCUGUCCAGUAAUCUACUCUUAGAUCACUAUUGUACUCCCUUGCUUAACACAAUGUAGGGUAUACAAUAGAUCUGGUGCACAACAUGGUAUACUUUAUAGAACCUAUGUCUGAGGCAUAGGGAAUGACUUUCAUUCUCUUUCUAUCUUCUGCCGUGGUCGGGCUUUGAGUCUUACUCAAUUUCAUACCUUGUAACACAGCCAAGAACUAUUUCUUUGACUGUUCCAUUUUUGAACUACUUCAAAAUAUUGUCAAGGUAUGUACUCAUUGAAAAAACUUAUCAAGCGUCUUGAUCUAUCUCUAUAGAUUUUGAUGCUUAAUAUGUAAGCAGCUUCACCGAGGUUUUCUUUGAAAAAAAUCCUUUUAAACACUCCUUUAUGCUUUGCAGAAUAAUUCUACAUUAUUUCCGAUCAAGAAUAUGUCAUACACAUAUACUUAUCAGAAAUGCUGUAGUGCUCCCACUCACUUUCUUGUAAAUACAGGCUUCACCGCAAGUCUGUAUAAAAUUAUAUGCUUUGAUCAACUUAUCAAAGCGUAUAUUCCAACUCCGAGAUGCUUGCACCAGUCCAUAGAUGGAUCGCUAGAGCUUGCAUAUUUUGUUAGCACCUUUAGGAUUGACAAAAACCUUCUGGUUGCAUCAUAUACAACUCUUCUUUAAAUCCAUUAAGGAAUGUAGUUUUGUUUAUCCAUUUGCCAGAUUUCAUAAAAAUGCGGCAAUUGCUAACAUGAUUUGGACAGACUUAAGCAUCGCUACGAGUGAGAAAAUUUCAUCGUAGUCAACACCUUGAACUUUGUCAAAACCUUUUUCGACAAGUCUAGCUUUGUAGAUAGUAACACUACUAUCAGCGUCCGUCUUCCUCUUGAAGAUCCAUUUAUUUUCUAUGGCUUGCCGAUCAUCGGGCAAAUCCAUCAAAGUCCAUACUUUGUUCUCAUACAUGGAUCAUAUCUCAGAUUUCAUGGCCUCAAACCAUUUCGCGGAAUCUGGGCUCAUCAUUGCUUCCUCAUAGUUCGCAAGUUCGUCAUGGUCUAGUAACAUGACUUCCAGAACAGGAUUACCGUACCACUCUGGUGCAGAUCUCACUCUGGUUUACCUACGAGAUUCGGUAGUAACUUGAUCUGAAGUUACAUGAUCAUCAUCAUUAGCUUCCUCACUAAUUGGUGUAGUAGUCACAAGAACAGAUUUCUGUGAUGAACUACUUUCCAAUAAGGGAGAAGGUACAAUUACCUUAUCAAGUUUUCUACUUUCCUCCUACUCACUUCUUUCGAGAGAAAUUCCUUCUCUAGAAAGUUUCCGAAUUUAGCAACAAAAAGUCUUGCCUUCCGAUCUGUGAUAGAAGGUGUAUCCAAUAGUUUCCUUUGGAUAUCCUAUGAAGAUGCACUUCUCCGAUUUAGGUUUGAGCUUAUCAAGUUGAAACUUUUUCACAUAAGCACUGCAACCUCAAACUUUAAGAAACGACAGCUUAGGUUUCUUGCUAAACCAUAGUUCAUACAGUGUCAUCUCAAAUGGAUUUAGAUGGUGCCCUAUUUAACGUGAAUGCAUCUGUCUCUAAUGCAUAACCCCAAAACAAUAGCGGUAAAUCUUUAAGAGACAUCAUACAUCGCACCAUAUCAAUUAAAGUACGAUUAUGACGUUCGAACACACCAUUACACUGUGGUGUUCCAGGUGGCGUGAGUAGUGAAACUAUUUCACAUUGUUUUAACUGAAGACCAAACUCGUAAUUCAAAUACUCUUCUCCAUGAUCAGAUCGUAGAAACUUUAUUUUCUUGUUACGAUGAUUUUCCACUUCACUCUGAAAUUCUUUGAACUUUUCAAAUGUUUCAGACUUAUGUUUCAUCAAGUAGAUAUACUCACAUCUGCUCAAAUUAUCUGUGAAGAACAGAAAAUAAUGAUACCUGUCGCGAGCCUCAAUAUUCAUCGGACCACAUACAUCAGUAUGUAUGAUUUCCAACAAAUCUGUUGCUCGCUCCAUUGUUCCGAAGAACGGAGUCUUAGUCAUCUUGCCCAUGAGGCAUGGUUCGCAAGCAUCAACUGAUUCAUAAUCAAGUGAUUCCAAAAGCCCAUCAGCAUGGAGUUUCUUCAUGCGCUUUACACCAAUAUGACCUAAACGGCAGUGCCACAAAUAAGUUGCACUAUCAUUAUUAACUUUGCAUCUUUUGGUUUCAAUAUUAUGAUUAUGUGUAUCACUAUGAUCGAGAUCCAAUGAACUAUUUUCAUUGGGUGUGUAACCAUAUAAGGUUUUAUUCCUGUAAACAGAACAACAAUUUAUUCUCCUACUUGAAUGAAUAACCGUAUUGCAAUAAACAUGAUAAAAUGAUAUUCAUGCUCAACGCAAACACCAAAUAACACUUAUUUAGGUUCAACACUAAUCCCGAAAUUAUAGGGAGUGUGCGAUGAUGAUCAUAUCAAUCUUGGAACCACUUCCAACACACAUCGUCACUUCACCCUUAACUAGUCUCUGUUUAUUCUGCAACUCCCAUUUCGAGUUACUAAUCUUAGCAACUGAACUAGUAUCAAAUACUGAGGGGUUGCUAUAAACACUAGUAAAGUACACAUCAAUAACAUGUAUAUCAAAUAUACUUAUGUUCACUUUGCCAUCCUUCUUAUCCGCCAAUCACUUGGGGUAGUUCCGCUUCCAGUGACCAGUCCCUUUGUAGUAGAGGCACUUAGUCUCAGGCUUAGGACCAGACUUGGGCUUCUUCACUUAAGCGGCAACUUGCUUGCUGUUCUUCUUGAAGUUCCCCUUCUUCCCUCUACCCUUUUCUUGAAACUAGUGGUCUUGUCUACCAUCAACACUUGAUGUUUUUCUCGAUUUCUACCUUCGUCAAUUUCCGCAUUACGAAGAGCUUGGGAAUCAUUUCCGUUAUCCCUUGCAUAUCAUAGUUCAUCACGAAGUUCUAUUAACUUGGUGAUGGUGACUAGAGAAUUCUAUCAAUCACUAUCUUAUCUGGAAGAUUAACUCCCACUUGAUUCAAGCGAUUGUAGUACUCAGACAAUCUGAGCACAUGCUCACUAGUUGAGGGAUUCUCCUCCAUCUUUUAGCUAUAGAACUUGUUGGAGACUUCAUAUCUCUCAACUCGGGUAUUUGCUUGAAAUAUUAACUUCAACUCCUGGAACAUCUCAUAUGCUCCAUGACAUUCAAAACGUCUUUGAAGUCUCAAUUCUAAGCCAUUAAGCAUGGUGCACUAAACUAUCAAGUAGUCAUCAUAUUGAGCUAGCCAAACGUUCAUAACGUCUGCAUCUGCUCCUGCAAUAGGUCCGUCACCAAGCGGUGCAUCAAAUUCUUCUGUGCAGCAAUGAGGAUAAACCUCAGAUCAUGGAUCCAAUCCGCAUCAUUGCUACUAACAUAUUUCAACACAAUUUUCUCUAGGAAAAAAUCAAAAUAAACACAGGGAAGCAACAACGCGAGCUAUUGAUCUACAACAUAAUUUGCAAAAUACUACCAGGACUAAGUUCAUGAUAAAUUUAAGUUCAAUUUAAUCAUAUUACUUAAGAACUCCCACUUAGAUAGACAUCCCUCUAAUCCUCUAAGUGAUCACGUGAUCCAAAUCAACUAAACCAUGUCCGAUCAUCACGUGAGAUGGAGUAGUUUCAUUGGUGAACAUCACUAUGUUGAUCAUAUCUACUAUAUGAUUCACGCUCGACCUUUCGGUCUCUGUGUUUCGAGGCCAUAUCUGUAUAUGCUUGGCUCGUCAAGUAUAACCUGAGUAUUCUGCAUGCGCAACUGUUUUGCACCCGUUGUAUUUGAACGUAGAGCCUAUCACACCCGAUCAUCAUGUGGUGUCUCAGCACGAAGAACUUUCGCAACGGUGCAUACUCAGGGAGAACACUUCUUGAUAAUUAGUGAGAGAUCAUCUUAAAAUGCUACCGUCAAUCAAAGCAAGAUAAGAUGCAUAAAAGAUAAACAUCACAUGCAAUCAAUAUAAGUGAUAUGAUAUGGCCAUCAUCCUCUUGUGCUUGUGAUCUCCAUCUUCGAAGCACCAUCGUGAUCACCAUCGUCACCGGCGCGACACCUUGAUCACCAUCUUAGCAUCGUUGUCGUCUCGCCAAUCUUAUGCUUCCAUGACUAUCGCUACCGCUUAGUGAUAAAGUAAAGCAUUACAGCGCGAUUGCAUUGCAUACAAUAAAGCGACAACCAUAUGGCUCCUACCAGUUGCCGAUAACUCGGUUACAAAACAUGAUCAUCUCAUACAAUAAAAUUUAGCAUCAUGUCUUGACCAUAUCACAUCACAACAUGCCCUGCAAAAACAAGUUAAACGUCCUCUACUUUGUUGUUGCAAGUUUUACGUGGCUGCUACGGGCUUAAGCAAGGACCAAUCUUACCUACGCAUCAAAACCACAACGAUAGUUUCUCAAGUUGGUGCUGUUUUAACCUUCGCAAGGACUGGGCGUAGCCACACUCGGUUCAACUAAAGUUGGAGAAACUGUCACCCGCAAGCCACCUAUGUGCAAAGCACGUCGGGAGAACCGGUCUCGCGUAAGCGUACGUGUAAUGUCGGUCCGGGCCGCUUCGUCCAACAAUACCGCCGAACCAAAGUAUGACAUGCUGGUAAGCAGUAUGACUUAUAUCGCCCACAACUCACUUGUGUUCUACUCGUGCAUAUAACAUCAACACAUAAAACCUAGGCUCGGAUGCCACUGUUGGGGAACGUAGUAAUUUCAAAAAAAUUCCUACGCACACGCAAGAUCAUGGUGAUGCAUAGCAACGAGAGGGGAGAGUGUGAUCUACGUACCCUUGUAGACCGACAGCGGAAGCGUUAGCACAACACUGGUUGAAGAGGGUGAAGCAGAUCCGGUGUCCGGCUCCCCUGCCUGAAGAACCAGUAAUCUCGCGUUUAGCGAAGAUGCUGGAGCCGACGCCUUAUAAGGCGCCAGAGAAGAAGGCCACAGGAAAGGCCAAGGGGGUCCGGAGUGACCCCGCCGCAAGGGCGCUUCGGACGUGAUGUCCGAAGACAAGACCCGCUCCUCCACCGGCGAAGACGAUGAGUGUUGGGGAACGUAGUAAUUUCAAAAAAAAUCCUACGCACACGCAAGAUCAUGGUGAUGCAUAUCAACGAGAGGGGAGAGUGUGAUCUACGUACCCUUGUAGACCGACAGCGGAAGCGUUAGCACAACACGGUUGAUGUAGUCGUACGUCUUCACGGCCCGACCGAUCAAGCACCAAAACUACGGCACCUCCGAGUUCUAGCACACGUUCAGCUCGAUGACGAUUCCCGGACUCCGAUCCAGCAAAGUGCCGGGGAAGAGUUCCGUCAGCACGACGACGUGGUGACGAUCUUGAUGUACUACCGUCGCAGGGCUUCGCCUAAGCACCGCUACAAUAUUAUCGAGGAUUAUGGUGGAAGGGGGCACCGCACACGGCUAAGAAUAUGAUCAUGUGUAUCAACUUGUGUCUAGAGGUGCCCCCUGCCCCCGUAUAUAAAGGAGCAAGGGAGGAGGAGGCCGGCCCUAGGAGGGGGCGCGCCAAGUGUGGAGUCCUACUAGGACUCCCUAGUCCUAGUAGGAUUCUACCUCCCAUAUGGAAUACGAAAAGAGGAAGGGAAAAGGAGAAGGAAGGAAGGGGGCGCCCCCCUUCCCUAGUCCAAUUCGGACCAGACCAAGGGGAGGGGUGCGGCCACCCUUGAGGCCCUUUUUCUUCUUUCCCGUAUGGCCCAAUAAGGCCCAAUACGUAUUCCCGUAACUCUCCGGUACUCCGAAAAAUACACGAAUCACUCGGAACCUUUCUGAUAUCCGAAUAUAGUCGUCCAAUAUAUCGUUCUUUACGUCUCGACCAUUUCGAGACUCCUCAUCAUGUCUCCGAUCUCAUCCGGGACUCCGAACUCCUUCAGUACAUCAAAACUCAUAAACUCAUAAUAUAACUGUCAUCGAAACCUUAAGCGUGCGGACCCUACGGGUUCGAUAACAAUGUAGACAUGACCGAGACACAUCUCCAGUCAAUAACCAAUAGCGGAACCUGGAUGCUCAUAUUGGCUCCCACAUAUUCUACGAAGAUCUUUAUCGGUCAGACCGCAUAACAACAUACGUUGUUCCCUUUGUCAUCGGUAUGUUACUUGCCCGAGAUUCGAUCGCCGGUAUCUUAAUACCUAGUUCAAUCUCAUUACCGGCAAGUCUCUUUACUCGUUCCGUAAUACAUCAUCUCACAACUAACUCAUUAGUUGCAAUGCUUGCAAGGCUUAUGUGAUGUGCAUUACUGAGAGGGCCCAGAGAUACCUCUCCGACAAUCGGAGUGACAAAUCCUAAUCUCGAAAUACGCCAACCCAACAUAUACCUUUAGAGACACCUGUAGAGCUCCUUUAUAAUCACCCAGUUACGUUGUGACGUUUGGUAGCACACAAAGUGUUCCUCCGGCAAACGGGAGUUGCAUAAUCUCAUAGUCAUAGGAACAUGUAUAAGUCAUGAAGAAAGCAAUAACAACAUACUAAACGAUCGGGUGCUAAGCUAAUGGAAUGGGUCAUGUCAAUCACAUCAUUCUUCUAAUGAUGUGAUCCCGUUAAUCAAAUAACAACUCUUUUGUUCAUGGUUAGGAAACAUAACCAUCUUCGAUUAACGAGCUAGUCAAGUAGAGGCAUACUAGUGACACUCUGUUUGUCUAUGUAUUCACACAUGUAUUAUGUUUCCGGUUAAUACAAUUCUAGCAUGAAUAAUAAACAUUUAUCAUGAUAUAAGGAAAUAAAUAAUAACUUUAUUAUUGCCUCUAGGGCAUAUUUCCUUCAACGAGGAUGAUGAUGAUGAUGAGGAAAGCGACUCUCCCUCUGAUGGGGGGAGGAAGAAGAGGGCGUCCUCCACAAUUCUGGAGGCGGAGGCGCCCAAGAAGGGGAAAGGCCCACUCGUGGGCAGCUUCGCAUGGGACGUUGAGAACAGUCCGGAGCAACGCCCCCCCACUAAGCCUCGGGCUGCAUCGUAAGUGCUAAACCUCACAUCUGGCCAUAAAUCAAGUCUUUCCUCCUUAUUGUAUUGACAUGAUAUGUUAUUAUAGUCCGGCCCACAACAACUGCCAGCGAUCCUCGUCCGGAGGUUCGUUGGAUUCCAAGGCGAUGACCAGCGAGUCACCGCUGGCCGCUCACUCUCCCAAGGCCAAAGACGACGCGGAGGUGUUGUCUUGAAGGAGUUUCCCAGGCCGGGGAGAGGCCCAGGAGGCCCCAGAAGGCGAUGCCUCCGUCGCCGGACACCAUGGGGAGCCGAUCUCCAUGGAGACUGGUGGUGAGGAGGGCCGUAUUUAGUUCGGCCCUCAGUCGGACCCAAUUCAGGAGACCAAUAUGGCUCCAGAAUCCGGCACACAACCUCCUUCGAAAUAAAGGGGUAUGCCUAUCCCGCCGGUGACCCCUGUCCAACCAGGGGCACCGGAUAAUCUGCUAGAAGCGCUGCGAGGUAAUUGAAAAGGUUUAGUCCGCCAAGAGCGGACUACCUGAAGCCUAUAGCAGCCUGCUGACAGGUUUUGAGGUAAGCGACGGAAAAAGAGAGAAUCCCAAUAUAGACAGUAGCCCCUAAGACACUGUCCGGUGUUCGGAAAGAAAAACUGGAGAGAGGAUCAAUCCUUUAUUGCAGGAAACUAACUAAAUUGUCUGAAAUGAAUACAUAGGCGUCGCUGUUGGCUGCAGCUGCACAUACUGCCUAGGUCUCUGAACUGAAGCAGAGACUGGAGCAGGCCGAGGAGGUGCUCGGCCAGGUGAGGAGGCAGCUCCAAGAAAAACAAGGUAUGUAAUAACCUAUUAUAUGUUCGAAAAAAGAAAAAAAUGAUAUGCAUUUGACCAAAGUGUCAUGAUAUAUACAGAAGCAAUGACCGAGGUCGAGGCCCUGAGAAAGGCCCUGGCCAAAGCCGAGGGGAAGGCUGUCCAGGAGCAGGCCGCUCGUAAGAAGCUCAAGGCCCGGGUCAACGAAGUCCAACAGGAGCUUCAGGACGCGGUGAGGAAGUGUGAGACCUUGGAGCACAAUGCGUCGGCUCAAGAGGCCGAACUCGCCAAGGCUCGUAAGAGUGCGGAGACGGCCCGGAUUGAAGCCCAGGGCGCCCUCCAGGAGAUACAGGAGUUCAGGAAGAUCGCAGAAGGUAAGGCAUUCAAUAUGCAAAGCAAGAGUGUGCAGAGGAAAUUUGUUUUACUAACCCCGAUUCGGAGUUCUCCAGGGGCCUUUGCUGAUCUGCCACGCAGUGUGACCGACGCCGCGAAGUACUUCCAGGCCGAAGAAGGGAGAUCCACGGAAAAGCUGUUCUGGUCGCAAUAUCUUGUGCUAGAACAUCCGGUGCCCUUCAGCGAUCAGCUAAAACAGCUGCUCGAGCUACAUAGGGUGGCCGAACUGGCCAUGAAGGAUUUAGUAGUCCGGCUGUGGCCAGCCGAAGCUAUACCCAGCAUCUAUUUCGGCCUCGUGAAGAAGCUGGUGGAUGCCUGUCCUCGGCUGGACAUCGUCAAGCGGUCCGUCUGCAUCGAGGGUGUGCGUCUGGCCUUCUCCUAUUGCAAGGUCUGGUGGGCGAAGCUGGACGCUGUCAAGUUAGCGACCGAGGGGCCGCCGGAGGGCAAGGAGCAUUGAUGGCCCACAAGUAUAGGGGAUCUAUCAUAGUCCUUUCGAUAAGUAAGAGUGUCAAACCCAACAAGGAGCAGAAGGAAAUGAUAAGCGGUUUCCAGCAAGGUAUUCUCUGCAAGUACUGAAAUAAGUGGUAACAAAUGUUGGGUAACAUAGUAAUUUCCAAAAUUUUCCUACGCACACGCAAGAUCAUGGUGAUGCAUAGCAACGAGAGGGGAGAGUGUGAUCUACGUACCCUUGUAGAUCGACAACGGGAGCGUUUAGCACAACGUGGUUGAUGUAGCCGUACGUCUUCAUGGCCCGACUGAUCAAGCACCGAAACUACGGCACCUCCGAGUUCUAGCACACGUUCAGCUCGAUGACGAUCCCCGGACUCCGAUCCAGCAAAGUGUCGGGGAAGAGUUCCGUCAGCACGACGGCGUGGUGACGAUCUUGAUGUACUACCGUCGCAGGGCUUCGCCUAAGUACCGCUACAAUAUUAUCGAGGACUAUGGUGGAAGGGGGCACCGAACACGAUUAAGAAUAUGAUCACGUGGAUCAACUUGUGUGUCUAGGGGUGCCCUCUGCCUCCGUAUAUAAAGGAUCAAAGGGGGGGGGGUGCGACCGGCCAGGAGAGGGCGCGCCAGGAGGAGUCCUACUCCCUCCGGGAGUAGGAUCCCCCCCCUUUCCUAGUUGGAAUAGGAUUCGGGAGGGGGGAAAGAGGAGAGAGAGAAGGAAGGGGGGGCACCGCCCCCUCUCCUUGUCCUAUUCGGACUAGGGGGGGAGGGGCGCGCGGCCCAGCCCUGGCCACCUCUCCUCUCUUCCACUAAGGCUCACCAAGGCCCAUAUACCUCCCGGGGGGUUCCGGUAACCUCCCGGUACUCCGGUAAAAUCCCGAUUUCACCCGGAACACUUCCGAUAUCCAAAUAUAGGCUUCCAAUAUAUCAAUCUUUAUGUCUCGACCAUUUCGAGACUCCUCGUCAUGUCCCCGGUCCCAUCCGGGACUCCGAACUCCUUUGGUACAUCAAAACUCAUAAACUCAUAAUAUAACUGUCAUCGAAACCUUAAGCGUGUGGACCCUACGGGUUCAAGAACAAUGUAGACAUGACCGAGACACGUCUCCGGUCAAUAACCAAUAUCGGAACCUAGAUGCUCAUAUUGGCUCCUACAUAUUCUACGAAGAUCUUUAUCGGUCAGACCGCAUAACAACAUACGUUGUUCCCUUUGUCAUCGGUAUGUUACUUGCCCGAGAUUCGAUCGUCGGUAUCUUAAUACCUAGUUCAAUCUCGUUACCGGCAAGUCUCUUUACUCGUUCCGUAAUACAUCAUCUCACAACUAACUCAUUAGUUGCAAUGCUUGCAAGGCUUAUGUGAUGUGUAUUACCGAGAGGGCCCAGAGAUACCACUCCGACAAUCGGAGUGACAAAUCCUAAUCUCGAAAUACGCCAACCCAACAUGUACCUUUGGAGACACCUGUAGAGCACCUUUAUAAUCACCCAGUUACGUUGUGACAUUUGGUAGCACACAAAGUGUUCCUCCGGUAAACGGGAGUUGCAUAAUCUCAUAGUCAUAGGAACAUGUAUAAGUCAUGAAGAAAGCAAUAGCAACAUACUAAACGAUCGGGUGCUAAGCUAAUGGAAUGGGUCAUGUCAAUCAGAUCAUUCACCUAAUGAUGUGAUCCCGUUAAUCAAAUAACAACUCUUUGUCCAUGGUUAGGAAACAUAACCAUCUUUGAUUAACGAGCUAGUCUUGUAGAGGCAUACUAGUGACACUCUGUUUGUCUAUGUAUUCACACAUGUAUUAUGUUUCCGGUUAAUACAAUUCUAGCAUGAAUAAUAAACAUUUAUCAUGAUAUAAGGAAAUAAAUAAUAACUUUAUUAUUGACUCUAGGGCAUAUUUCCUUCAGUCUCCCACUUGCACUAGAGUCAAUAAUCUAGGUUAUACAGUAAUGAUUCUAACACCCAUGGAGCCUUGGUGCUGAUCAUGUUUUGCUCGUGGAAGAGGCUUAGUCAACGGGUCUGCUACAUUCAGAUCCGUAUGUAUCUUGCAAAUCUCUAUGUCUCCCACCUGGACUAGAUCCCGGAUGGAAUUGAAGCAUCUCUUGAUGUGCUUGGUUCUCUUGUGAAAUCUGGAUUCGUUUGCCAAGGCAAUUGCACCAGUAUUGUCACAAAAAAAUUUCAUUGGACCCGAUGCACUAGGUAUGACACCUAGAUCGGAUAUGAACUCCUUCAUCCAGACUCCUUCAUUUGCUGCUUCCGAAGCAACUAUGUAUUCUGCUUCACACGUAGAUCCCGCCACGACGCUUUGUUUAGAACUGCACCAACUGACAGCUCCACCGUUUAAUGUAAAUAUGUAUCCAGUUUGCGAUUUAGAAUCGUCCGGAUCAGUGUCAAAGCUCGCAUCGACGUAACCAUUUACGAUUAGCUCUUUGUCACCUCCAUAAACGAGAAACAUAUCCUUAGUCCUUUUCAGGUAUUUCAGGAUGUUCUUGACCGCUGUCCAGUGAUCCACUCCUGGAUUACUUUGAUACCUCCCCGCUAGACUUAUAGCAAGGCACACAUCAGGUCUGGUACAUAGCAUUGCAUACAUGAUAGAGCCUAUGGCUGAAGCAUAGGGAACAUCUUUCAUUUUCUCUCUAUCUUCUGCAGUGGUCGGGCAUUGAGUCACUACUGGAAUCAGCUACUUUGCCAUCUGCCAGCUCUUUGCCGUCUGCUAGCAGACGGCAAAGAAGGUCUUUGCCAUCAGCUACCCGAAAGCAGACGACAAAGAACUGGCUGAUGGCAAAGAAAGCCUUUGCCAUCAGCCAGUUCUUUGCCGUCCGCUAGCAGACGGCAAAGAGGGAGGGGCCCCACUGAGGAGCUGGUUAAAGAAUACUUAACACGGUCCCCUCUUUGCCAUCCGCUAGCGGACGGCAAAGAGCACAUUAGCGGACGACAAAGGUGGUGGACGGCAAAGAUUAAACAUAUCUAACGGCGCGCCCCCACCCCGCCCCUCUCUCUCUGUUUCUCUCCCCUGCUCCCACACGCGCGCCGCCGCCACCACCACUCGCCGCCGCCCGGUCGCACCACCGCCCCGCCNNNNNNNNNNNNNNNNNNNNNNNNNNNNNNNNNNNNNNNNNNNNNNNNNNNNNNNNNNNNNNNNNNNNNNNNNNNNNNNNNNNNNNNNNNNNNNNNNNNNNNNNNNNNNNNNNNNNNNNNNNNNNNNNNNNNNNNNNNNNNNNNNNNNNNNNNNNNNNNNNNNNNNNNNNNNNNNNNNNNNNNNNNNNNNNNNNNNNNNNNNNNNNNNNNNNNNNNNNNNNNNNNNNNNNNNNNNNNNNNNNNNNNNNNNNNNNNNNNNNNNNNNNNNNNNNNNNNNNNNNNNNNNNNNNNNNNNNNNNNNNNNNNNNNNNNNNNNNNNNNNNNNNNNNNNNNNNNNNNNNNNNNNNNNNNNNNNNNNNNNNNNNNNNNNNNNNNNNNNNNNNNNNNNNNNNNNNNNNNNNNNNNNNNNNNNNNNNNNNNNNNNNNNNNNNNNNNNNNNNNNNNNNNNNNNNNNNNNNNNNNNNNNNNNNNNNNNNNNNNNNNNNNNNNNNNNNNNNNNNNNNNNNNNNNNNNNNNNNNNNNNNNNNNNNNNNNNNNNNNNNNNNNNNNNNNNNNNNNNNNNNNNNNNNNNNNNNNNNNNNNNNNNNNNNNNNNNNNNNNNNNNNNNNNNNNNNNNNNNNNNNNNNNNNNNNNNNNNNNNNNNNNNNNNNNNNNNNNNNNNNNNNNNNNNNNNNNNNNNNNNNNNNNNNNNNNNNNNNNNNNNNNNNNNNNNNNNNNNNNNNNNNNNNNNNNNNNNNNNNNNNNNNNNNNNNNNNNNNNNNNNNNNNNNNNNNNNNNNNNNNNNNNNNNNNNNNNNNNNNNNNNNNNNNNNNNNNNNNNNNNNNNNNNNNNNNNNNNNNNNNNNNNNNNNNNNNNNNNNNNNNNNNNNNNNNNNNNNNNNNNNNNNNNNNNNNNNNNNNNNNNNNNNNNNNNNNNNNNNNNNNNNNNNNNNNNNNNNNNNNNNNNNNNNNNNNNNNNNNNNNNNNNNNNNNNNNNNNNNNNNNNNNNNNNNNNNNNNNNNNNNNNNNNNNNNNNNNNNNNNNNNNNNNNNNNNNNNNNNNNNNNNNNNNNNNNNNNNNNNGACACGGCACUACCCCGACAUCGACACGACACCCCGACCCCUCGACCCCGAAACAGCACCCCGACCCGGACACGGCACCCCGACACCGACAGGACACCCCAACCACCGACUCCUCCCGAAAAGGUGUUCUUUGGCCUUCCAGAGGCAGACGGGGUCAUAUAUUUGUGAAUUAUUAGUUAGGUCAUAUAUUUUUCGAUUUUGUUAUGAAAAACAUCAUAUAUAAUUGUGUUGAUCAUGUAGUUUUAAAUGUGCGGUUGUUUCAUCGCUGCAAGGUUUGGUGUUCGACGACCUCACCGUGCGUUUGACGAGCUCUGCCCCUUCGUUCGUGGGUGAGCACAAAUGACAAGUCCUCCUCCCCCAUUAAUUAUUUGAUCUAUUCCGAUGAAACUUGAUAGCUAGCUAUAUAUGUGUCUUGAAUCAUCAGUAUGCGUAACCAAUAUGUGUCUCCCGUUCGAAAGCGUCAUAGUUAUAAAUAUGCAUGCAUUUGCAUAUUUAUAACCUUGAUUCUUUCGAAUUGUCCAACGCUAUCCAUGGACAGCCCGAGUAUGUGUAGAUUGGGUUCGUUUUCCCAUAUGCUUUGCUCCGGAUCCGACGCAUAUAUUUCGUCAGUGCCUCCCCUAUUGUUCUCCGGGUACACAUCCUCUCUGUUUAUUGCAGAGACGUGUAUCUGGAGAACAGCGGGGAGGUGCUGCCGAAAUUUUGCGUCGGAUCCGGAGCAUAGCAUGGGAAAAUGAACCCAAUCUACACAUACACGGGUGGGAUUAGGACCUAUCAUUACCUAUUAGAGUGUAGGUUGCAUGGACGUAAUAAAAUUGACAAAGUAGAUCAACUAAUGAAUAUAUACAUGGUGAAUUACAUAUAUAAUUGUUGUGUGUCCAGUAGCUCUGAAAGUCAAGAUGAGUGACCGUGCUUGGAUGUAUACCGGUCACACUGGUCAGAACAAAUGGAGCGCUGAAUGGUUCACAAAAACUAAGGGGUUUGUGCAAGCCGCAUUUGCAAAUGGCCAAAAGAAAACCUGGUGCCCCUGUUUCCGGUGCGGCAAUUGGGAAAAGAAGACAGAGGCUGAAAUCCGUUAUCCUAGCACUCUCCCGGAGAUCAAGGCGCGCCAGUCGAGCUCCGCUCCUGAGAUAAGGCCUCGUGAAUGGCCAGUACAACUCGCCAUCAAGGUUAGUGAUACGUACUCAGUUAUCUUUCUCCAUUAUAUUGUGUGCACUUCCAUCAAUGAUUACAAAUGGUCAUGUGAGUGGUGUUGCAGGCUUCUAUACAGAGUGAGAGAGAUAGAACGGAGAAACUUCUGGCGGAGGCGGCGGAGAGGCAGCGGGAGUUGGAGGAGAGGACGACAAAGAUGAUGGAGGAGGAGAGGGCAUGGAAUGACAUGCAGGCAAUGGCCAUGUACGAGCUCCUUGUGGUAAGUUUCUUCUGCAGAUUAGCCAAAACAUUCAUGUAGUGUUUGUCUCAUUACUAACUAGUAUGACUGAGUCGUCAAAACCAAAUGUGCAGUCUAUGUGCGAGAAGACAGGUCAGACCGCUCCGCCGAUGCCAGUGAUUGCUCCUGGGACCACAGUGAGUUUUAUUUGAAUGGACAUUACUUGCUAGUCUUAACAUUUGAGUGUCAUCAUGCUAACAAGACAUUGGAAAUGAUCUUUGGUGCAGCGUAACUCCAGACAAGCAUCGCACGAUCCUUCUCCAUCUACCGACACGAGCCACCCCGCUCCUACACCUCCUGGAUCUUGGUAAGUUUAUCUAGUGUUUUGCUUAACACAUGCAUAAAGACCUAGACUUAGCUUUAUUUCCUCCAACGCUUACCAUAAUGACCUAGACUUAGCUUCUUCUCCUCCAAAAUGACUUAAUAAGCUUACUGACCUCCAAACCAUCCAUUUUACCUAAGUUAGCUCUAAAACGAUCUGUACUUAGCUUACUUAUGUCAAAAAUUGCAUAAUUAGCUUAGUUAGCUCAUAGACAAUCCAUUUUACCCAAGUUAGCUCUAAAAUGACCCAUUUUACCUAGGUUAGCUUAUAAAUGAUCCAGUUCAUCCAAGUUAGCUCAAAAAUGACCCAUUUUACCUAGAUUAGCAACUAAAUGAUCCAUUUUACCUACGUUAGCUUUAAAAUGACCCAUUUCACCUAGGUUAACUCCAAAAUGACCCAUCUUACCUAGGUUAUCUCAUAAACGAUCCAUUUCAACUAAUUUAGCUCAUAAACGAUCCAUUUCACCAAGUUAGCUAAAAAACGAUCCAUUUCACCUAAAUUAGCUCUUAAAUGAUCCAUUUCACCUAAGUUAGCUCAAAAAGAUCCAUUUCAACUAAAUUAGCUCAUAAAUGAUCCAUUUCACCUAAGUUAGCUAAAAAACGAUCCAUUUCAACUAAGUUAGCUCAUAAAUGAUCCAUUUCACCUAAGUUAGCUAAAAAACGAUCCAUUUCACCUUAGUUACCUCAAAACGAUCCAUUUGACCUUAGUUAGCUCAUAAAUGACCCAUUUCAACUAAGUUAGCUCAUAAAUGAUCCAUUUCACCUUAGCUAGCUCAUAAACGACCCAUUUCAACUUAGUUAGCUCAUAUAUGAUCCAUUUCACGUAAGUUAGCUCAUAAAUGACAUACUCUUCUUGUUCUAGUCUUCUUCUUGUUCUACUCUUCUUGAUCUAGUCUUCUUCUUGUUCUACUCUUCUUGUUCUAACUUUCUUAUUUUUCAUUUUGCAGAUUUCAUUCACUUGACGAAAGCUUGCAUAGAUGGAGUGCUCCUUAUCCCUUUCUCUGUUUCUUUUGUAUCGUUGAACUAUGCAUGUAUCAUUGGAUGAAACUAUUGUAAUAUAUAUGGUUGGAUGCCUCUAUGUUGAACUUGUUAUGUAUGAUGGAACUAUGCAUGUAAUAUAUAUGGUUGGAUGAUGAAGUUAUGUGUUGGAUAUCUUAUAUGUUUGCUCUGUAAUGGCCUUUUGAAAUAUAUCUAUAUAUGUCAUAUAUAUUUGUGAUGAAAAUUGUUGGAUUUAAUAAAAAACAGAUAAAAGAGCCAAUAUGCAGGCUCUUUGCCGUCUGCCACCGACGGCAAUGGGCUCUUUGCUGUCCGCCGCGGACGGCAAAGAAGACACGUGGCAUCCAGCUGUGCUUCCUGGGAGCUGACCCAUUUGGUCAGUUUGCCUACAGUGGCAGACGACAAAGACUUUGCCAUCAGUGGCAGACGGCAGAGAACCUGCCAUGUAGUGACGUGUAGAUGUAAUCAUACGGCGGACGGCAAAGACACUAGAAAUUUUGCCGUCAGCGGCGGACGGCAAAGGCCUGCCGUUAGCCACUUAACGGACUGACAGCGCAAUUAUUGCCGUCCGCUCUCUUUGCCGUCCGCCGCCGACGGCAAAGGGCCUUUGCCGUCAGCCGCCAGGAAGCAGACGGCAAAGUAGCUGUUUACCGUAGCCUACUUUGCCGGAGCCUUUUGCCGUCCGCGGCUGACGGCAAAGGCCUUUGCCGUCCGCCGUUCAUGCCUUUGCCGUCCGCCAUGGCAGACGGAAAAAUAGCUGAUUCCUGUAGUGAGUCUGACUCAACUUCAUACCUUGUAACACAGGCAAGAACCAUUUCUUUGCUUGAUCCAUUUUGAACUUCUUCAAAACUUUGUCAAGGUAUGUGCUUUGUGAAAGUCCAAUUAAGCGUCUUGAUCUAUCUCUAUAGAUCUUAAUGCCUAAUAUGUAAGCAGCUUCACCGAGGUCUUUCAUUGAAAAACUCUUAUUCAAGUAUCCCUUUAUGCUAUCCAGAAAUUCUAUAUCAUUUCCAAUUAGUAAUAUGUCAUCCACAUAUAAUAUCAGAAAUGCUACAGAGCUCCCACUCACUUUCUUGUAAAUACAGGCUUCUCCAAAAGUCUGUAUAAAACCAAAUGCUUUGAUCACACUAUCAAAGCGUUUAUUCCAACUCCGAGAGGCUUGCACCAGUCCAUAAAUGGAUCGCUGGAGUUUGCACACUUUGAUAGCUCCCUUUGGAUCGACAAAACCUUCUGGUUGCAUCAUAUACAACUCUUCUUCCAGAAAUCCAUUCAGGAAUGCAGUUUUGACAUCCAUCUACCAAAUUUCAUAAUCAUAAAAUGCGGCGAUUGCUAAAAUGUUUCGGACAGACUUAAGCAUCGCUACGAGUGAGAAGGUCUCAUCGUAGUCAAUCCCUUGAACUUGCUGAAAACCUUUUGCGACAAGUCGAGCUUUGUAGACAGUAAUAUUACCGUCAGCGUCCAUCUUCUUCUUGAAGAUCCAUUUAUUCUCAAUUGCUUGCCGAUCAUUGGGCAAGUCAACCAAAGUCCAUACUUUGUUCUCAUACAUGGAUCCCAUCUCAUAUUUCAUGGCUUCAAGCAAUUUUGCGGAAUCUGGGCUCACCAUCGCUUCUUCAUAGUUCGUAGGUUCAUCACAAUCUAGUAGCAUGACUUCCAGAACAGGAUUACCGUACCACUCUGGCGCGGAUCUCACUCUGGUUGAUCUACGAGGUUCAGUAGUAUCUUGUUCCGAAGUUUCAUGAUCAUUAUCAUUAGCUUCCUCACUAAUUGGUGUAGGUGUCACAGAAACAGAUUUCUGUGAUGUACUACUUUCCAAUAAGGGAGUAGGUACAGUUACCUCGUCAAGUUCUACUUUCCUCCCACUCACUUCUUUCGAGAGAAACUCCUUCUCCAGAAAGUUUCCAAAUUUAGCAACAAAAGUCUUGCCUUCGGAUCUGUGAUAGAAGGUGUAUCCAAUAGUUUCCUUUGGAUAUCCUAUGAAGACACAUUUUUCCGAUUUGGGUUCGAGCUUAUCAGGUUGAAGCUUUUUCACAUAAGCAUCGCAGUCCCAAACUUUCAGAAACGACAACUUUGGUUUCUUGCCAAACCAUAGUUCAUAAGGCGUCGUCUCAACGGAUUUUGAUGGUGUCCUAUUUAAUGUGAAUGCGGCCGUCUCUAGAGCGUAUCCCCAAAACAAUAGCGGUAAAUCAGUAAGAGUCAUCAUAGAUUGUACCAUAUAUAGUAAAGUACGAUUACGACGUUCGGACACACCAUUACGCUGUGGUGUUCUGGGUGGCGUGAGUUGCGAAACUAUUCCACAUUGUUUCAAAUGCACACCAAACUCGUAACUCAAAUAUUCUCCUCCACGAUCAGAUCGUAGGAAUUUUAUUUUCUUGUUACGAUGAUUUUCAACUUCAAUCUGAAAUUCUUUGAACUUUUCAAACGUUUCAGACUUGUGUUUCAUUAAGUAGAUAUACCCAUAUCUGCUUAAGUCAUCUGUGAAGGUGAGAAAAUAACGAUAUCUGCCACGAGCCUCAACAUUCAUCGGACCACAUACAUCUGUAUGUAUGAUUUCUAACAAAUCUGUUGCUCUCUCCAUAGUACCGGAGAACGGUGUUUUUGUCAUCUUACCCAUAAGGCACGGUUCACAAGUACCAAGUGAUUCAUAAUCAAGUGGUUCCAAAAGCCCAUCAGUAUGGAGUUUCUUCAUGCGCUUUAUACCGAUAUGACCUAAACGGCAGUGCCACAAAUAAGUUGCACUAUCAUUAUCAACUCUGCAUCUUUUGGUUUCAACACUAUGAAUAUGUGUGGCACUACUAUCGAGAUUUAAUAAGAAUAGACCACUCUUUAAGGGUGCAUGACCAUAAAAGAUAUUACUCAUGUAAAUAGAACAACCAUUAUUCUCUGAUUUAAAUGAAUAACCGUCUCGCAUCAAACAAGAUCCAGAUAUAAUGUUCAUGCUUAACGCUGGCACCAAAUAACAAUUAUUUAGGUCUAAUAUUAAUCCCGAAGGUAGAUGUAGAGGUAGCGUGCCGACUGCGAUCACAUCGACUUUGGAACCAUUUCCCACGCGCAUCGUCACCUCGUCCUUAGCCAAUCUUCGCUUAAUUCGUAGUCCCUGUUUCGAGUUGCAAAUAUUAGCAACAGAACCAGUAUCAAAUACCCAGGUGCUACUGCGAGCAUUAGUAAGGUACACAUCAAUAACAUGUAUAUCACAUAUACCUUUGUUCACCUUGCCAUCCUUCUUAUCCGGUAAAUACUUGAGGCAGUUCCGCUUCCAGUGACCAGUCUGCUUGCAGUAGAAGCACUCAGUUUCAGGCCUAGGUCUAGGUUUGGGUUUCUUCUCUUGAGCAGCAACUUGCUUGUUGUUCUUUUUGAAGUUCCCCUUCUUCUUCCCUUUGCCCUUUUUCUUGAAACUAGUGGUCUUGUUGACCAUCAACACUUGAUGCUCCUUCUUGAUUUCUACCUCCACAGCUUUCAGCAUUGCGAAGAGCUCGGGAAUAGUCUUAUUCAUCCCUUGCAUAUUAUAGUUCAUCACGAAGCUCUUGUAGCUUGGUGGUAGUGAUUGGAGAAUUCUGUCAGUGACGCAAUCAUCUGGAAGAUUAACUCCCAAUUGAAUCAAGUGAUUAUUAUACCCAGACAUUUUGAGUAUAUGCUCACUGACAGAACUGUUCUCCUCCAUCUUGCAGCUAUAGAACUUAUUGGAGACUUCAUAUCUCUCAAUCCGGGCAUUUGCUUGAAAUAUUAACUUCAACUCUUGGAAUAUCUCAUAUGCUCCAUGACGUUCAAAACGUCGUUGAAGUCCUGAUUCUAAGCCGUAAAGCAUGGCACACUGAACUAUCGACUAGUCAUCAGCUUUGCUCUGCCAAACAUUCAUAACAUCUGGUGUUGCUCCAGCAGCAGGCCUGGCACCCAGCGGUGCUUCCAGGACGUAAUUCUUUUGUGCAGCAAUGAGGAUAAUCCUCAAGUUACGGACCCAGUCCGUGUAAUUGCUACCAUCAUCUUUCAACUUUGCUUUCUCAAGGAACGCAUUAAAAUUCAACGGAACAACAGCACGGGCCAUCUAUCUACAAUCAAACAUGAAUAAACAAGAUACUAUCAGGUACUAAGUUCAUGAUAAAUUUAGGUUCAAUUAAUCAUAUUACUUAAGGAACUCCCACUUAGAUAGACAUCCCUCUAAUCCUCUAAGUGAUUACGUGAUCCAAAUCAACUAAACCAUGUCCGAUCAUCACGUGAGAUGGAGUAGCUUCAUUGGUGAACAUCACUAUGUUGAUCAUAUCUACUGUAUGAUCCACGCUCGACCUUUCGGUCUCCGUGUUCCGAGGCCAUAUCUGUAUAUGCUUGGCUCGUCAAGUAUAACCUGAGUAUUCCGCGUGUGCAACUGUUUUGCACCCGUUGUAUUUGAACAUAGAGCCUAUCACACCCGAUCAUCACGUGGUGUCUCAGCACGAAGAACUUUUCCAACGGUGCAUACUCAGGGAGAACACUUCUUGAUAAUUAGUGAGAGAUCAUCUUAUAAUGCUACCGUCAAUCAAAGCAAGAUAAGAUGCAUAAAAGAUAAACAUCACAUGCAAUCAAUAGAAGUGAUAUGAUAUGGCCAUCAUCAUCUUGUGCUUGUGAUCUCCAUCUUCGAAGCACCGUCAUGAUCACCAUCGUCACCGGCGCGACACCUUGAUCUCCAUCGUAGCAUCGUUGUCGUCUCGCCAAUCUUAUGCUUCCACGACUAUCGCUACCGCUUAGUGAUAAAGUAAAGCAUUACAGCGCGAUUGCAUUGCAUACAAUAAAGCGACAACCAUAUGGCUCCUGCCAGUUGCCGAUAACUUGGUUAAAAACAUGAUCAUCUCAUACAAUAAAAUUUAGCACCAUGUCUUGACCAUAUCACAUCACAACAUGCCCUGCAAAAACAAGUUAGACGUCCUCUACUUUGUUGUUGCAAGUUUUACGUGGCUGCUACGGGCUUAAGCAAGAACCAAUCUUACCUACGCAUCAAAACCACAAUGAUAGUUUGUCAAGUUGGUGCUGUUUUAACCUUCGCAAGGACCGGGCGUAGCCACACUCGGUUCAACUAAAGUUGGAGAAACUGUCACCCGCUAGCCACCUUUGUGCAAAGCACGUCGGGAGAACCGGUCUCGCGUAAGCGUACGCGUAAUGUCGGCCCGGGCCGCUUCGUCCAACAAUACCGCCGAACCAAAGUAUGACAUGCUGGUAAGCAGUAUGACUUAUAUCGCCCACAACUCACUUGUGUUCUAGUCGUGCAAAUAACAUCAACACAUAAAACCUAGGCUCGGAUGCCACUGUUGGGUAACGUAGUAAUUUCAAAAAAAUUCCUACGCACAGGCAAGAUCAUGGUGAUGCAUAGCAACGAGAGGGGAGAGUGUGAUCUACGUACCCAUGUAGAUUGACAACGGAAGCGUUUAGCACAACGUGGUUGAUGUAGUCGUACGUCUUCACGGCCCGACCAAUUAAGCACCGAAACUACGACACCUCAGAGUUCUAGCACACGUUCAGCUCGAUGACGAUCCCCGGACUCCGAUCCAGCAAAGUGUCGGGGAAGAGUUCCGUCAGCACGACGGCGUGGUGACGAUCUUGAUGUACUACCGUCGUAGGGCUUCGCCUAAGCACCGCUACAAUAUUAUCGAGGACUAUGGUGGAAGGGGGCACCGCACACGGCUAAGAAUAUGAUCACGUGGAUCAACUUGUGUGUCUAGGGGUGCCCUCUGCCUCCGUAUAUAAAGGAUCAAAGGGGGGGUGCGGCCGGCCAGGAGAGGGCGCGCCAGGAGGAGUCCUACUCCCUCCGGGAGUAGGAUUCCCCCCUUUCCUAGUUGGAAUAGGAUUCGGGAGGGGGGAAAGAGGAGAGAGAGAAGGAAGGGGGGGGGGCGCCGCCCCCCUCUCCUUGUCCUAUUCGGACUAGGGGGGGGGGAGGGGCGCGCGGCCCAGCCCUGGCCACCUCUCCUCUCUUCCACUAAGGGCCACUAAGGCCCAUAUACCUCCCGGGGGGUUCCGGUAACCUCCCGGUACUCCGGUAAAAUCCCGAUUUCACCCAGAACACUUCCAAUAUCCAAAUAUAGGCUUCCAAUAUAUCAAUCUUUAUGUCUCGACCAUUUCGAGACUCCUCGUCAUGUCCCUGAUCCCAUCCGGGAUUCCGAACUCCUUCGGUACGUCAAAACUCAUAAACUCAUAAUAUAACUGUCAUCGAAACCUUAAGCGUGCGGACCCUACGGGUUCGAGAACAAUGUAGACAUGACCGGGACACGUCUCCGGUCAAUAACUAGCGGAACCUGGAUGCUCAUAUUGGCUCCUACAUAUUCUACGAAGAUCUUUAUAGGUCAGACCGCAUAACAACAUACGUUGUUCCCUUUGUCAUCGGUAUGUUACUUGCCCGAGAUUCGAUCGUCGGUAUCUUAAUACCUAGUUCAAUCUCGUUACCGGCAAGUCUCUUUACUCAUUCCGUAAUACAUCAUCUCACAACUAACUCAUUAGUUGCAAUGCUUGCAAGGCUUAUGUGAUGUAUAUUACCGAGAGGGCCCAGAGAUACCUCUCCGACAAUCGGAGUGACAAAUCCUAAUCUCGAAAUACGCCAACCCAACAUGUACCUUUGGAGACACCUGUAGAGCACCUUUAUAAUCACCCAGUUACGUUGUGACGUUUGGUAGCACACAAAGUGUUCCUCCGGUAAAUGGGAGUUGCAUAAUCUCAUAGUCAUAGGAACAUGUAUAAGUCAUGAAGAAAUCAAUAGCAACAUACUAAACUAUCGGGUGCUAAGCUAAUGGAAUGGGUCAUGUCAAUCAGAUCAUUCACCUAAUGAUGUGAUCCCGUUAAUCAAAUAACAACUCUCUGUCCAUGGUUAGGAAACAUAACCAUCUUUGAUUAACGAGCUAGUCUAGUAGAGGCAUGCUAGUGACACUCUGUUUGUCUAUGUAUUCACACAUGUAUUAUGUUUCCGGUUAAUACAAUUCUAGCAUGAAUAAUAAACAUUUAUCAUGAUAUAAGGAAAUAAAUAAUAACUUUAUUAUUGCCUCUAGGGCAUAUUUCCUUCAACAGAUAGUUUUGUGAUAGGAUAAUUUGUAACGAGCAACAAGUAACAAAAGUAAAUAAAGUGCAGCAAGGUGGCCCAAUCCUUUUGUAGCAAAGGACAAUCCUGGACAAACUCUUGUAUAGAGAAAAGCGCUCCCAAGGACACAUGGGAAUAUCGUCAAGCUAGUUUUCAUCACGCUCAUAUGGUUUGCGUUCGGUACUUUGAUAAUUUGGUAUGUGGGUGGACCGGUGCUUGGGUACUAUCCUUACUUGCACAAGCAUCCCACUUAUGAUUAACCUUUAUUGCAAGCAUCCGCAACUACAACAAAAGUAUUAAGGUAAACCUAACCAUAGCAUGAAACAUAUGGAUCCAAAUCAGCCCCUUACAAAGCAACGCAUAAACUAGGGUUUAAGCUUCUGUCACUCUAGCAACCCAUCAUCUACUUAUUACUCCCCAAUGCCUUCCUCUAGGCCCAAACAAUGGUGAAGUGUCAUGUAGUCGACGUUCACAUAACACCACUAGAGGAGAGACAACAUACAUCUCAUCAAAAUAUCGAACGAAUACAAAUUCAGAUGACUACUAAUAGCAAGACUUCUCCCAUGUCCUCAGGAACAAACGUAACUACUCACAAAGCAUAAACAUGUUCAUUAUCAGAGCAGUAUUAAUAUGCAUAUAGGAUCUGAACAUAUGAUCUUCCACCAAUUAGACCAACUAGCAUCAACUACAAGGAGUAACUAACACUACUAGCAACCUACUAGUACCAAUCCCGGACUUGGAGACAAGAAUUGGAUACAAGAGAUGAAUUAGGGUUUUGAGAGGAGAUGGUGCUGAUGAAGAUGUUGAUGGAUAUUGCCCUCUCCCGAUGAGAGGAGCGUUGGUGAUGAUGAUGGUGAUGAUUUCCCCCUCUGGGAGGGAAGUUUCCCCGGCAGAACAGCUCCACUAGAGCCCUAGAUUGGUUCCGCCAAGGUUCCGCCUCGUGGCGGCGGAGUGUCAUCCGAGAAGAUAGCUUCUUAUUUUUUCCUCAUCAAAAGACCUCAUAUAGCAGAAGAUGGACGUCGUAGGGCCACCAGGGGGCCCACGAGGUAGGGAGGCGCACCUAGGGGGGUAGGGCGCGCCCCCACCCUUAUGGGCAGGGUGUGGCCCCCUGAUGAACUUCUUGCUCUCAGUAUUUUUUAU